UUGAUCCCCUUAGUAAUCAGAAUCUUUUUCAUUUCCACUUUUCUUCCCUCCCACAAUACAGAUAGGCUAAUUAAUUUCAUAAUCUAUUUGAUGUAUAUGAUAAGGCCUUUGGUUGUCUAUUUCUUUUUUAUGGUUAUCAAUUGUCAUUGGCAACAUUUUUUCAUUGUUUGUUCAGUCGAGGGUUAAUAGGAAACAAUCGAUCUACCUUCUUAAGGUACAUUUUUUCAUAGACCUAUAUAAAGAGUAAGGUCUAUGUACAUUUUACCCUUUUCAGACUAUUUGUUGGAGGGUUUUUCCGAAAUUUUUUGAGGCUAGUGACCCACAGUACAAUACAAUAAAAUGAUGAAAUGAAAAAGGGUCCAUGAACCUUUUCUAUCCACAUCUAUUCAAAAACAAAGUAUAUUGAAUCGAUCUUAAUUACAUGCUUCUAUCCCUAGCAAAAUAAUAUUUUUAGGGCCCGUUUGGUCAUGCGAUAUGGUAUCAUGAUAUGAAAUUGAAGUUUUGUUUGGACAUGUGAUAUGAAAUUUUUGUGUUGUAUAUUUUCUUAUAAACAUAAAAAUUCCAUAAGUUGUAAAACUAUUAAAAUAGCCCCAAUUGUUUAUUCAAUCUUAUUAAAUAAACAAAAAUUUAUAAAAUCACAUAAUAAAUUAUUACAAAGUUAUUUGUUCUCCACUUAAGUAAUUGUUUCAUUUAACUUUAAUUUAAUAAAAAUAUUUGAACAUAAAUUGUAGUAUACUAGUCUUUAGUAUAAUCCUCCCACAUAGUACGGACAAUUUCCUCACGUUGAACUUGCAUUUCUCGAUCAUGUGACCAAGAAGAUGAACCAACAUUGUUACUUUGAGCCAUUUGUUGGUCAAUAUCAUCCGCAACUAUAUUUUCAUACUCAUGUCCACGUAGGCACAUAUAUACCUUUAAAAUACACUAUUAAAUAGUACGGGGGGAGGGGGGGUAAAAGGUCAUUUCCAAAGUUUGGUAUCGUAACAGCAAUUUCGACCAAAGUUUGAGUAUUUUUUUAGACCUUUUUCCCUAAAAUAUAAAUGUGCACUUAUUAAGGCCAUCAUAAGUUAUUAGUUGACAAAUUUCAAAUAAAUAUAAGAGUUAGAACCAUAGAUUUGAUUCAAGAGGUUGAUAAUUUGGUAUACCCCACAUUUUACUAUGCUUGUUGUAAUGCUUAAAAAUCUAAGAAGAAUAGAAAAAGAAUUUACAAUUCACUUUGUUCAACACUUUUCGACUAUUGAUUCAUAUUUUUGAUAGAUAUGGAAUCAGUGUAAAACGCAUGUCCAAACGCUGAUUCCAUCUCACGAUACCAUAACGUGAUAUGGUAUCGCAUGGCCAAACGCCUACUUAAAAUACUUGAAUCCAUCUUAAUUACAUGCUUCUAUCCCUAGCAAAAAAUUAUUUCCAAACAAAUUGAGUAAUCAGGGGUGGCUCAACGCAAUCGGGGGCCUAAAGCGAAAUCUUAUUUAGAGACCUAAAAUCUAAAUAAAUUUCACAUGCAUUUAUUUAAAAUUUAUUUCUCUUACAUUUUAAAAUGCAAAGUAUUACUUAAUAUAUAUUUUUCAUAAAUAAUUUAUUCAGUUUCUUUUUCAAUUAUUAGUUUUAGAUAAUAUUUUAUUUUUUUCAAUUCAACGUUGAAAAAUAUAAUAUCAUUUUACUCGGGCAAUCAUUAUAUGAAUUGUUAACAUAGUUUCAUAAGUUAUUAGUUGACAAAUUUCAAAUAAAUAUAAGAGUUAGAACCAUAGAUUUGAUUCAAGAGGUUGAUAAUUUGGUAUACCCCACAUUUUACUAUGCUUGUUGUAAUGCUUAAAAAUCUAAGAAGAAAUGGAAAAAGAAUUUACAAUUCACUUUGUUCAACACUUUUCUACUAUUGAUUGAUAUUUUUGACAGAUUAUUACUCUAACUUAUCAAAAAAUUAAUGAAGAGAGUGUAAAAGGAGUUAAAAAGAAUAAAAUAUGUGAGUAUUAGUGGAGAGAGUGUAAGAAAAUAAAACAAUAUUUUCUUGAUUUCUUCUAUUUGAAUGUGGGUUAAAAAGAAUAAAAUAAUAAUUUUAAAUAUAUACUUUUUAUCAUAAAUAAUUAAUAUUUUUUCUAUAAAAAAUUAACACAUAAUUUAUUCUUAGUAAAAAAUUGAGGCCCCCUAAAAUUAGGGUCCUAAGGCCAAUGUCUUAUUAAAGUAUGCAUAGAGCUACUGUGAGUAAUAGAGGAAAAAUAUUUGGGCAUGGUAGACUUGUAAACUCAUGCAGACCCAUGUCCAGCCAUGCAUCAAAAUCUUGUUGCCACGGUCCGAGUAAGGUAAGAGCUAUCCAAAUGCAAAUACCUUCAAAUAAUAAAUAAACAAAAGUAAUUAAUAAUUAUCCUUUUCAACUAAAAUAUUUAUAUACAUUAGAAUAAAUCCAUGGUAUGAGAUGAGUAUCAUAAUAUAAAAAUGCUAUGAGCAAUCAAUAUCAAUACCAGUGAGGUCUGAAUUUUCUUCCACACAAUAAAAGUGGUUUCAGUAAUGAUCAAUCGCUUGCUUUUAUCUUGAAUGUAUACCAUUAUCUAAACAUAAUAAGUUUUUUUUUCAGCCGCUUAAUUUUUACCUCUAAAUUCGACGCUAAUUAUCAACUCCAUUUCCAUAUUAUUGAUAGCCUUAAAAACACUAAUUUACACGAUUAAUUAAAUCUAAAUAAAUUGGCAUUUUUAAGAUUGUCAAUAAUUUAGAAAUGAAAUUGAUAAUUUGCAUCAAAUUUAAAGGUAUUUUUCAUACUUUUUCUCAUUAUUAAAUUAUAUUUUUUUCCAUACUUCUUCUCAUUAUUAAAUUUUAUUUUCCAUCUUUUCAACUAUUCAUUUUUUAGCUUAGUUGUCGACACUUCAAGUGUUGAAAGCACUUGUUUUUGUUUCCAUCACCUAUGGAUCUUUGUCUAUGGGACCUGAUCCUUUAAUUCUCUCUUUUUUGUGUUGUCAACAUAUUAAUGGACGACACAUUUAUACUUAUCAUCAAUGAUGAGAUAAGGCCAAUACCUAUUAUCUUUUAUAAAUUUUAUUUGUGAGAUUAAAAUUGAUACAUUAUUGUUGUCAAAAAAUAGAUUAUUAAAGAUUACAAUGAAAUGAUAGAUAAUAUGUUCAAUUUUUAUUAAAAGUUUUAGUUAGAGACUAAAGUUAUUUUAAGUUGGAGUAAUUUACCCUUCAAAUUAAAUUUUGUGGUAUGAAUCUAAAUUAGUGAAGGUAAGAAUUUAGUCGUAUUCGAUAUUUAGAUCAAGUUUAUAAUGCAUGACGUUUGUUUGUACAUACACUUCUAGUAUUUAUAUAUGGUGGAUUUACAUAGUUUGAUAUAAACAUCCUCGAUACAAAUAAAUAAUUACUUCAAGCCACAAAAUAACUGGCGGAUACCUGAUAAAAUACAGAGCAAAUCCUUCACACAUUCGAUAUAAUCAAAAUGGUACAAAAAGGAUUAGCAUGCCUCAACGCGAAACUAGAGAGUUGUUUAUUGAUGCACGUGAAUUCAAUUAUUAUUAUAAAAUGAAUUUGAAGUUAAUAUAAGUAUAUAUCCAUAAAUUUAAAACCUUUAAUCUUGGCAAAAUUGCUUUUAUAAAAAAAAAUGACACAUACAAAUAAACGAAAAAUAACAAUAUGUUACUGUUCAUAAUAAAGGAAAGUAGUUAUCUGAAAAUACAUCAAGCAACAAUUAUACUUUUUUAUAACACUCUCAACAUAUAGUAGUUAAAUCCAAAUGGAAUUUUGAUACAUUUGACUUCAAAUGCAUCAUGCAUGAAUAUCCUUGAAUUUAUUCAAUACCCCAGGUUGCUCGGAUUCUUUAGAAAUGUAUUUGUGCGAUAAUAUUUUUGAAGAGUCUGAACAACAUCGCCAGAACUAGUUAUCUUGUUAUAUGAGAUAUGAAUGAAUCCAAUUCUAUACGUUUAAUUCCACCCUCUGCCACUGAUUUUCUAAUUUCUACACUCAAAUAUUUUGCUUUGUUCCUCAUUUCAUCUCCUCCUUUUGAUGCCAUUAAUUUUUCCACACAUUUUUUCACCACAUUUGAUUUUACCAAUUCAUUCCUAUUAGCCCAUUCUCUAACAACAAUUCCAAUUUUAAGAAUCUUGGUAAUUAGUACAGCGUUUCUUGGUUGAUCAGAAUGCAUUGGCCAUGCAGCUAUUGGCACGCCCAUCGAGACACUUUCCAUGCAGGAAUUCCAUCCACAAUGACUCAAGAAUCCACCAGUCGAACAAUGUGACAAAAUCUCCAAUUGAGGUGCCCAAUCUCUUACCAAAAUCCCCUUUUCUUUAACUCUCUCCUCGAACCCUUUUGGCAACUCAAUCUUUCUUGAUGAGUCUUUAGUAAAAACAUUCCCUUUAUCCGCGUCUCUCAACACCCAAAUGAACUUUUGUUCGCUCUGCUCUAGUCCAAUUGCGAUUUCCUUGAUUUGUUCGUCAGAAAAUGAAGUCGUGGUACCAAAUGACACUAAUAUCACCGAGUUUGGUUCUUGUUUGUCGAGCCAUAACAAACACGUGUGGCUUUUGGUGUUGGGCCCGUUCUUGGGAAAUGUAACCGGGUUAAACGGGCCGAGGGCCCAUUGUUUUUCGUUGUUGUUGGUCACUUCUUUCAACAACAAAUCAAGAAAAGGACUUUCCAUGACUCUACAUGUGUUGUAAAUCUUUCCCGAGUUAAACUUCAUGCAUUCAUAUUCUCUUUUCAUAAGUUUCUCAAAUUCUGGACUAAAACAACCUUCGAGAGAAGGAAGAUCAAUCAACAUUUCAGAGUCUAUAAGAAACGGCCUCUUUUUUCGCUCCCAUAUAAAUAGGAGCAGAGUAAAAGCUGACACACUAUGGAAAGUGUAUGCCUCAGCAUUUGGUACUGACACAAAAUCUUGAACAACUGAUCCCAUCAGAGAGUCGUUUAUGAUAACGACUCUCUGAUACUUGGAUGAAAGCGUUUGGAUUAACCUUUUCACAGGGUUCCUUAGAUAAGACGAUGAUUCAAAUGAAGAUUGAAGAUGAGAUGGAAAUUUAAUUCGCGAAUUUGGAUUUGGAUUUGGAGAGAUGAAACUUGGAGUAGGAAAUUCAUGGAAAUGAAUUUUGGAAAAAGAGUCAAAACUAUUAAUAACUCUAAGUUUUGCUUGAAGAUUAUGUGUUUUUGUACUAACAUAAUGGACUUUUAUGUUGUUAUAAGAUGCUAUAAGGCAAGAGAGUUGUAGAAGUUGAUUAAGAUGACCUUGUGCUAGAAAAGGGACUAUUACUACAACAAUUUUUUGACUUUUUUGGUUAUUUUUGCAAAUAUGAAGAUUGGAAGCCAUUGAAGAAAUAAAUUCCCAAUGAAUAUUUUUAACUUUGUAUGAGAAAAUAUGAACUUGUUUUUUAUUUCUUGGCUAAAAUUUUUGGUACAAACUUUCUCUUAACUCUACCCCCUAUUUAUUUAAUUUGGAGACGGUGAGAAAAUGUGUGGAGAGGGUGAGGACAUGUGAAUAACUGAUCAUGUGAUAUGUACAGAGAUAUAAUUUGCUUAUAUUGAGUCACACGGCAAUAAAAGUAGGUACGUGAAGUUAGAGUUUUAAUUACGAGUUUAAUAAAAUGACGAAAAUUUAAUAUUUAUAUUAAAAACUCUUUUUUUGUUCGUUUUUUUGUAUUAAAAAGAAUUAAUGACAAAAAAAACAUCAUAAACUAUCGUAUUUGUAAGUUCCAUACUCAAUUAUCAGUCGAUUUCUUUUUCUACCUCAACUAUUAUAAUCAAAACAUCGAAGUUGAUUAGGCCAACUAUUUUCUUUUUCUAUUUGAACUAUCGUCAUCUACUUAACUAAUUAGGUGUGUUUUUAAUACAUAGAUGACAGUAGUUCAAGUUGAAAAAAAGGGUAGAUAAUAAUAGUUCAAAAAUUCUAAUGGAAAAAAAAAAAAAAACUAAUAAUUAAAAUCGCAAAAAGUAAUAGCUCAAAUAUAUUUUUAAUUAUUAAUUCAAUUAAAAAACAUAAAUUCUAAAUUCUAAAUCUAUUUGUUUCUAGUAGACAUAAAGUUUUUAUUGUAGGACAUAGGUAGACAUAAAGUUCUUAUAAGACCUAAUUUACACAAAUUUUCACUUACACACAUUCACUAGGAUUUGUUUAUUUUAGACACCUCAUAUCAUGCUCCGUUAUGUCUUUUUGACAUUUUUUUGACAAUCAGCCAAAUGUGUAAGGUGUGUGUAACACACUCGCGAGGACAUGUCAAAGUGACAAAUUAAAUAAAGACAAGUGGAUAUAUGUCAAAAAUAAUUUUUAAAUAAUGAAAUUUGUAUAGAAAAAAUGGUCAAUCACUCAAUGACACGUGUCAUUUUUAAACCUUUUUUUUUUAUUUUUAAACACAGCCUAUAAUAAUUAUCUUCUCCAGCAACUCCACCCCCAGACCCCUUUCCCACUACCCAAUCCCUAAACCCCUCCCCCAUCCAAAUCGUUUUCUCAGUGAAAUUUUUUCUUUCAACUAUAUGUUAGUUCUUCACUUAAGACGCAAGACUUUCUUAAUUGUUUUUCUCCAUUGGUUCUAUGUUUUUUCAUAAAUCAAAUUAAUUGUAACUUGAUCUACUAAAAUAUUGGUUGUUUUUGUUUUAACUAAUUAGCACCAUCAAAUCUACUUCUCCAUGGAAGUGGUUUAAGUUUUGGCAGAUGGUGGUUAAAAAAUGGGGAAGAAGAUGAAAAAAAUAAAAUAAAAAUGAAUUUAAUAAGUUUUUUACGCGCUGGUAGCAAGUGUAGCUCACUCAUUAUGUCAUGUCAGCAAAAAGUGUCAAACUUACAUAGCGGAACAUGACAUGAGGUGUCUAGAAUGAACAAAGCCUAAUUAAGGUGUUUAAGUGAAAAUUUAUGUCAAUUUUAAGUGGUCACCGAUGGAUUAGGCCUUGUUAUAAUUAUAGGACAUUGUUGAUUAGUAGUUUUCAUAUAAUAAAUGUACUUGCAUAAAGAAGAGAGUUUGGUGUAAUAUCUGACUGGUGACAGCAGUGCUACAAAACUUCAAAGGAAAAUAUAUAAAUGAAACUGAUAGAUAUAAAAGGUCAUAAUUAGAAUAUAUUUUUAUGUCUAGUUAAAUUAUUAGUGGUAUGCAAAUUCCAAUUAUAUAUACAAAUAAUCAGGGCGGACCUAUGAAGGGCAGUGGGGGUGCCACGCCACCCCCAAACUUCGACGGAAACUCUAUAUAUACAUAGGUAUAUAUACAUAAGAUUUAUAUAAAUAUAAAGUGUGUCACCCACAGAACAAAAUAGGCUUGUGGUGCCAUGGUAGGAGGGCAACUUUAGAAGGUUGAGGUUGCGGGUUCGAAUCCCAUUUGAACCUAUUUUUUGAAAAAUUGUUGAAGACGUUUUUUAAGUGAAAAAAAGGCUCCAAGCCCCCUUUUUUUUAAGGAAAACAGCUGGCACAUUAUUUUAUUUUAUUUUAUAAUUGUUAUUGACUUAAAUUAAAUUAAUUACAUUACUCCUUUGACUUAGAAGUGUUCUCUUUCUCUUCAACUAUUUCCAAACCCUUCUUCCUCCAAGUUUCAACUUCUCCAAAAAAUUUAUUACCCCAUUCCGAACCCAAAUCACUUCUUGUCGUUGCCGCCCCCCGCCCGUCUUAGCAUUCCGUUCAGUGGCUAAGCCUCAUUUGGGUGCGUUUGUUUUCACUUUUCUCCAUCCAUCCACAACUUUUUAUAGAUUGUAAGUUUGCAAUUCUAUUUUUGUAAGAUUUUUUUUUAUUUCUAUUUCUUGAGUUCUUUUAAGUUUUAAUUAGUGAUGAUUGAUUUCAUAUGGUGUGCUGGAUCAUUGGCGGAUCCGCCACUGCUUACAAUUACUAUGGUGUGCUGGAUCAGUAUUUAUAAAUGAUUAAAUGAUUGUCUAGUGUGUUACAUAGAGCGUGAUGUAUUUAUAAAUGUUAGUAAUGAUGUCAUUAUCGAUCGUUUUCAGAAUAUGAAAACUCGUCGAGGACAAUUGUAAAUGAAUGUUGAAUAUUUAUAAUAUUAGUAAAUAGUAAUAUUAUUGAAAGUUUUAAAUUUGUUAACUUCAUGCUUUUAGUGUGGAGUGUGGAUUUGUAAUAUCUUAUUAUUUAUAUUUUAUUGAUUGAUUUAUGAUAUAUAUCGAAAAGGCGAAUAAUUUAAUCAAAUAUAAAAUUAAUUUAAUCGAUAAGUUUAUUUGGCACCCCCGGACUCUAAAUCCUGGAUCCGCCACUGAUCGAAAAGGCGAAUAAUUUAAUCAAAUAUAAAAUUAAUUUAAUCGAUAAGUUUAUUUGGCACCCCGGACUCUAAAUCCUAGAUCCGCCACUGCAAAUAAUAAUUCACAGUGUUUCAUGUUAGUAGUAAGGACAAAGAGAAAAUAGAUUAUUUACUUGGAGAUAUCAAUAAAAAAUUGGUGAACUUUGAUAAAGUUGUGGGUGGAGGGAAAUUAAACAAUCCCCCUUCCUAAAUUUUGUUAGCUAGGGUGGUAAUAAAGUUUUGUAUAAGCAAGGGUUGGUGGAAUUAAAGUACGUGGUUGGUGUAGCUAGCUUGUAGGUUUGUAGCUGUCGAAGUGUAGCAUUAAGGUGGUUCGGUUGAUAAAGUUUUAUAUAAAUACCGACUAAUAGAGUGAACAUACGUAGAUAGUGAAUGUAGUUAGUUUGUAGUUGUUAAAGGGUAGCAUUAAGAUGAUUUAAGUAAAAAGAUCUUGAUUAAGCUUGAAUUAUUAUAUUGAAUAUAAAAAGUUGACAUAGCAGGUGGUUCAGUUGGUAAAGUGAUCUUGUAUUAUAAGCUCUGGCUAUUAAUAGAGUGAACGUAGGUAGGGGAUGUUACUAGUUCGUAGUUGUUAAAGUGUAGCAUUAAGAUGAUUCAAGUAUAAUAAAGUGAACAUAGGUAGGGGAUAUUACUAGUUUGUUAAAGUGUAGCAUUAAGAUGAUUCAAGCAAUAAAAUCUUAAUUAAGCACAAAUUAUUACAUUAAAUGUAGGUAGUUGAUGAAGCUAGCUUGUAGCUAUCGAAGUGUAGCAUUAAAGCAGUUUGUUGGUAAAGCCUUGUAUAAGCUCCGACAAAUAGAAUGAAUAUAGGUAGUGGAUAUAACUACUUUAUAGCUGUUAAUUAAGAAGGUUCAAGUGAUAAAAUUUUACUUAAACUCGAAUUACUAUAGUGAAUGUAGUUAGUUUGUAGCUAUCAAAGUGUAUCAUUAAGGUAGUUCAGUUGGUAAACGCCUUGCAUAAGCUUCAACUAAUAAAAUAUAUAUAUAGGUAGUGGAUGUAACUAUCUUGUAGAUGUUGAAGUAUAGCAUUAAGAUAAUUCAAGUAAUAAAACAUUGUGUUAAGCUCAAAUUACUAUAGUGAACAUAUAUAGAUAGUUGAUGUAGCUAGCUUGUAGCGGUUAUAAUGUAGCAUUGAUGUGACUUGGAUAGUAAAAUCUUAGAUAAGCAAGGGUUAAUAAAGUAGAUGUACGUACAUAGUUGAUCGAUAUAACUAAUUUGUAGUUGUUAAAAGUAUAAUAUUCUGAUGAUUAGGAUGUUAAGCCCUUGAAUAAACUCAAAUUAUUAUAUUUUAAUUGUACACGAGGCCAAGAGUAUAUUUGAAUUAUGUAAUUUCUUGAUACAUUAAUACAAAGGGAUUUUUUGGGUUCGUGCCCUGGAUAUGAAGAAAGUCCUAUUGGGAGCGUCACCCCUAAAUGGGCCCUGCGAUGUGCAAUUCAAAUUUAAUCGAAGCUUCAAUAUUAACUCCGAAUACCGAUCGGAAAACAAAAAAAAUAUACAAAGGGAUUAGUUUGGAUUGAAAAAUCAAAUUUGAUGUGACAGAUAUUAUUUGCUUAUAUAUUGCAAUAGGAUGAGUCACAUGUCACUAAUGUAAGUAGGCUAAAAGUUCUCAAUGUAUAGGACAAGGUUGGUUAGUUAUUGGAGUAGUAUAUUAUUAAUGUGCUUGCUUAAAGAAUAUUUUUUCUCCGUCUUAAAUUAUCUAUCGUGAUUUUCAAAAAUUAUCUUAAAUUAUAAAUCAUUUGAGAAGUGUAAUUAAGACAAAAUUAUCUCAUUUUAUCCUAAAUAGUUAUUAUUUUGAAGACUACAAAUAUCUCAAUUAUGCGAUGUUAUGAUUAUUCAAAUAUCAGUAUAAGAUAAAAUAACUAAAACCUCCUCCUAUUUAAUUAAAAAUGCGUAUAAAGAGAACCAUGACAAAUAAUUUGAGACGGAGACAGUAUAUGCCCUGGAACGUCAGUGCUACAAAUUUCAAGGAAAUUAUCAAUGAAAUUGACAGAUAUAAGGGAACAUGAGGAAAUAUUUUCAUAUCUAGUAAAAAAAAUAGAAAACGUCAAAUUGUACGUUACAACUUACAACUAUUUUAUAACUGUUAAAGUGUAGCAUUGAGACGAUUGAUCGCUAAUUAGUAAGGCCUUGGAUAAAUUCGAGUUAAUAGAGUGAAUAUAGCUAAUUUGUAACUAUUUAAGUAUGACAUAAAGGUAAUUCGAGUGAUAAAGCCUUGUAUGCACACAUUUAAUUCUAUUAUUGAAAUUUAAACUCGUGAAUAAUAGGACAACGUAGUAAGCAUACAUUUAAUUUUAUUAUUGAAAUUUUAACUCGUGAUACUAUAGUUUGAAUUAUAAUUGAUUUAAUCGGGAACUCAAAGCAAUGGUCCCGAUUAAAUCGAACGAUUUUUUUCAGUAUAUUAUCUGACAUCAAGCCAUGAUUAAAAUUGUACUGCAUAAUGUGUGGGAAAUUAUUAUCUGUUGGUAGCAUGUGUGUCAAUCAAUUCAAAUCCAAUUGUACAUAUAUCUAAUAUAGUUUUGUCUGUCAAUAAACUUUAUAUGACUCAUAAAGAAGAAUUCCUAGCCAGCCACACGUAAGUAUUUAACUUAUAGGGUGAAGUUUUAAAAUUUAAAUAAUAAUAUAAAAUUUGAAGUACAAAUCACAUGUUGAAACUUGAAAGAACAAGAAAAAUAGGAACCUCACUUAAAGAUGAGGUGUGCUGGAGGGUGGGAAUAAGGACUACGAGGGUGAGUGGCGCAGAUGAGGUGUGCUAGAGGGUGGAGAUGGAGACUACGAGGGCGGGGUGAAGAUGAGGUGUGCUGGAGGAUGGGAUAGGUACUACGAGAGUGGGGUAAAGAUGAGGUGUGUUGAAAAAUGGGAAAGGAGGUUACGAGGGCGGGGUAAAGAUAGGGUGUGUUGAAGAAUGGGGAAGGAGGUUACGAGGGCGAGGUGAAGAGCAGGUGUGCUGGAAGAUGGGAUAGGAACUACGAGGGCGGGGUAAAGAUGAGGUGUGUUGAAGGAUGGGGAAGGAGGUUACGAGGGCGGGGUAAAGAAUAGGUGUGCUGGAAGAUGGGAUAGGGACUACGAGGGCGGAGUAAAGAUGAGGUGUGUUGAAGGGUGGGGAAGGAGGUUACGAGGGCGGGGUAAAGAAUAGGUGUGCUGGAAGAUGGGAUAGGGACUACGAGGGCGGAGUAAAGAUGAGGUGUGUUGAAGGGUGGGGAAGGAGGUUACGAGGGCGGGGUGAAGAGCAGGUGUGCUGGAAGGUGGAGACACAAUUAAUAUUAAAUGUCACUAGCGAAAUUUAUUUUUUCUAUAUUAGAAAAGUUAUUUUUUCUCAUUUUUACAAAAAAAAAAAAGAAUUCUAGAGAAAGUAUUUUCUAAAAAAUUUAACCUACCGAGAAAAUCGAAAAAAUGAUCUUCCCCUACCCAUUGAACACAUCCUAAGAGAUAAAUUCUCGUUCAUUUAUUGGUGUUUACAAUUUGGUGAAAAUUCAAUCUAAAUAAAACAUCAAAUCAAAUCAAUUAUCAAUUAAAUAUAUAUAUAUAGAUUAAUAUUAAUUUAUUUUUAAUAUUUUUAUAUAUAUAAAGUAUUAAUAUGAUAUAAUUGAGACAUAUUUUUUGAAAAGCCAAAAUCAUAUUUUUUUAUAAUAUGAAUAUAUGUAAGUUAUAGCUCAUCAAUCUAUGAUAACCAAUUUACCAUACAGCAUAAUCCCGAAUCAUACCAAAUUAUUUAAUAUAAUAAUAUAAUAUUUUUAAAAGCCAUAAACCAAAAUUGUCGAAUCAAACUUUUCAAUACCAUAUCCAACUCACCCAUAAUUAGCACACAAGCCUAAUAGAAGGUAAAGAGGCUCUAUCACUCUCUUAUUUCUUUUCAAAAUAUAUGGAAUUUUCUAUGACUAUAUUAAAGCUAACACUACACCAUUUUAGGCUUUUAGCCACACCAAUAAAGUGUAGCCUAAACUAGCAAAAAGUGUGGCCUUUGAUAAAAGGCUACACUUUUGAACUUUAAGCAACGGUUCAAAUUCAAAAUAUAUGGAAUUUUCUAUGACUAUAUUAAAUCAUUUAAACUUUCUUUAUGCUAAGCUAAGUAAUCUAUAAUGAGCUAAUUUACAUAUUAAUAGUUUAAUUAAAGUUUAAAAAGCAAAGUUAAUGGAUGUGUGAUACAUCUUUGAGACGUAAGGAACACUAUUAAUUAAUACUUCCUCUUCUCAAUUUAUGUAAUAUAUUUCGUUUUCUAAGAAUCAAACAGAUUAAGCUUGAUUGGAAAUUUACACAUGAAAUCUUUAGUUUUUUUUGAAAUUAAGUUUAUAUAUUUAUAAACUAAGUAAAAAGUACUAUUAGUCACAAUAAUUGACAAUCCAAUAUAUUUAAAAAAUAUAUAAAAAAAUUAAAAAAAAAUAUAUAGUUUUUUGAAUCUCGAAAUUCAAAUUGUGUAGGACAUAAAUAUUAAUAUAAUACACGUGUGACCAAAUGUCUAUAUCUCCAGACUCCAAUCCAUCCCAUCUAUUUGCCUUAAUUGAUAAUUUUUUAAAAACUUGUUUUAACCUUUUUUUCCUUUUCUAUAUUAGUAUUGGAAUCGAAUUAAUUAAUUUAAAUUCAAAUUAUAAGAUUUCAUUUAUAUAUAUAUGUAUAAAAAACUUUAUACAGAUUCAAACUUAAAAUCUUUUAUUAAAAAUGAAUGUGUAAAACAACAUAUUCUUCUUUACGAUGACUAAAAAUAACAUUUGAUAUGUUACUCCUAAUUGCACGUAAUUUUUAUUUGGGCUCCGGUUGUCGAACGGGAAACAAAAAAAAACAAAGGGAUUAGUUUGGAUUGAAAAAAACAAACUGAUGUGACAGAUAUUAUUUGUUUAUAUUGCAAUAGGAUGAGUCACAUGUCACUAAUGUAAGUAGGCUAAAAGUUCGUUGGUUAGUUAUUGGAGUAGUAUACUAUUAUUAAUGUGCUUGCUUAAAGAAUUUUUUUCCUUUAUCGUGAUUUUUAAAAAUAAUUAUCUUAAAUUAUUUAUCGUUUGAGAAGUGCAAGACAAAAUUAUCUCAUUUUAUUCUUAACAGUUAUUAUUUUGAAGACUACAAACAUCUCAAGUAUGCGUUGUUAUGAUUGUUCAAAUAUCAGUAAAAGAUAAAAUAACUAAAACCUCCUCCUAUUUAAUUAAAGAUGCGUAUAAAGAGAAUCAUGACAAAUAAUUUGAGACGGAGAUAGUAUAUGUCCUGUGACAUCAGUGCUACAAAUUUCAAGGAAAUUAUCAAUGAAAUUGACAUAUAAGGGAACGUGAGGAAAUAUUUUCAUAUCUAGUAAAAAAAAAAUAGAAAACGUCAAAUUGUACGUUACAACUUACAACUAUUUUAUAACUGUUAAAGUGUAGCAUUGAGACGAUUGAUCGCUAAUUAGUAAGGCCUUGGAUAAAUUCGAGUUAAUAGAGUGAAUAUAGCUAAUUUGUAACUAUUGAAGUAUGACAUAAAGGUAAUUCGAGUGAUAAAGCCUUGUAUUUACACAUUUAAUUUUAUUAUUGAAAUUUAAACUCGUGAUACUAUAAUUUGAAUUAUAAUUGUUAUUGUUAGUGUGACAUUUUAAUAUUCUAAAAUAUAUUAAAUUUUGCAAUAUUCUGCAUGGUCACACAGACAUUGGUUUUCUGGCCAUUGGUUGACUUCUCACAUUUCAUAUGUUACAAAAUGUUGGAUGCAUGUAAUGACAAUCAUAAUUGCUGCAUUACUAUCUUAUAUUACUCCAAAUUGGAGUUAGUGCCAUACGCACAUCAGUUUUCAAAAUGCCGUUGAUGGUAUUAGCCGUUGAUGGCAUUGGUGGGCACUUGAUUGUCACUCUUAAUUCCUCCAUUAUCCUUGUAACCUAUGUAACUCCUAAGGCCAUUUAUCUUCACUAUUUACUACACCAUUUAUCUUCUUAUUCAUUGAUAGGAAGACUUCUUCUAGUAUAAAUAGUGGUAGUCUUCAUUUGAUUUGGUACACACAAUACACAAGAAAAUAUAGAGUGCAUAAAGUUUGUCAAAAGAGAGUUUUAUUAGUUGAAGGAGGUGUUCUUUUGUGGAGCUUUGGACUCAACUCUUGUCCAGAGUUGUUGAGUUAUAUUUUGUGAUUAGGCUGUUGUAUCCUGGAGGGGACAAGUCAAGAAGGACUACUGCUGGACCGGUGAAAACAUUUGCUGCAGUGGGCUUGAAUCUCCUUAAAGAGAGCGAGAUAUCCGCGCCUCAGCCUGAAGAGAUUUGUUUUCUUCAUUUUAUUUUCAAUUGUAAUCUUGUAUUUUUGUUAUCUUGUAAGUUUUCACUAACAGUUAUUAAUCGGGAACUCGUAACAGUGGUCCCGAUAUUUAUCAGUAUAUUAUCUGACAUCAAGCCAUGAUAAAAAUUGCACUGCAUAAUGUGUGGGAAAUUAAAUUAUUAUCUGUUGGUACAUGGUAGCAUGUGUAUCAAUCAAUUCAUAAAUCCAAUUGUACAUAUAUCUAAUAAUUUUGUCUGUCAAUAAACUUUACAUGACUCAUAGAUGAGGAAUCCUUAGCCAGCCACACGUAAGUAUAUUUAAUUUUAGGUUGAAACUUCAAAGAAGAAGAAAAAAUAGGAAACACGGUUGAAGAUGAGGUGUGCUGAAGGGGCUAGGAUGGAGGCUAUGAGGGAGGAGUAAAGAGAGUCUGGAAUCAAAAGAGCAAAAAAAAUUGUCAAAAAAUCCAAAAUGGCACAUCAAUUUUAUUUUUUUACCAAAAGGACAAAAUCGCUCCUGGCGGAGCGAUUUCAGAUUGACGCCGUACUCCGUUAAAAACAUAAAAAUCGCUACCCCAACAACAAUUUCGUCCAAAUUUUUUUCUUAACGGCAGCGAUUUCAUCAAAAAAAAAUUUAACAACGCUGCCCCUGCAGCGUUUUUCUCAAAAAUAAAAUAAAAUUUGCUGCUAUAGCAGCGUUUUAAUUAAAAAAAAAAAUUGAAAUAGCUGCUAUAGCAGCAAUUUUCUUAAAAAGUUUAAAAAAAAAUUCUAUUAAGAAAUCGCUUGCCAGGCUGCGAUUUACUUUAUUUUAUUUUAAAUCACUGCUUUCUUCAAGGCAGCAAUAUAUUUAAAAUGCAAUUUUUUAAAAAUGAAAUCACUGCCUUGCAAGCGAUUUUAAAUUUUUUAAAAAAGUUUUUUUAAGAAAAUCGCUGCUAUAGUAGCGAUUUCAAAUUAAAUUAUUCUUUUUUUGAGAAAACGCUGCAGGGCAGUAAUGUUAAAAAAAAUAAUUUAACAGAGUAACGGCGUCAAUUUUGUCAGAAGGAAAUCGCUCUGUCAGGAGCGAUUUUGCCCUUUUGGUUAAAAAAAUAAUUGAUGUGCCCUUUUGGAAUUUUUGACAAUUUUUUUUGCCAUUUUGGCUCCGGACUCAAGUAAAGAUGAGGCAUGCUAGAGAGUAGAUGAGGAUUACGAGGGCGGAGUAAACAAUUUUUAAUAAUUUAAGGAAUCUUUUACCAUGCAUCAUAAAUUAUAAGUAAGGUUAUAAAAAUGUUUUUAUGGACUCACCUUGAGAUAGGGCACUUGUAAAACGCCUAGAAAUUCAAUUGUGCGCCUUAAACACAUCUAACACUUAAACUUUGGGCCUUCCCCAAUAAUCUUAAACAAUCAUAUGUAAAUUCCAUCUUAACAUUGUUGAUCCAAUUUUUUUGUAAACAAAAAUAAUAUUUUUUUUAUUUAUCUAAGAAAUACAAAAGAUAUUCACACUCACUCUGUUGGAUUUAUUUCCUUUUUUUGAGUGACACAUACCUUACUUUUGGCUUUAAGAACCAAACUUUUUCUUCUAUACACUAAAUUAAAUUAAUUCCAUGAAUCUGCUAAUAUUCUGUCACUAUUCCUGUCUAAUCACCAUCUUAAUCUGAAGUUUGGUUAGAUAUGAAUAAUAAAUGCAACAGAAGGUUAGUUAAUAUUAACUUCUUUGAGAUCGGUUUUAGGGAAGUUUUGAUGGUGAAAGUUCGCACAAGGGCAAGUAUGAUAUGGUAGAUAUUGAAUAUCAUAUUGAAAUCAAAAAUUUUAAUAUUGCGGUUUGGAUAUUAUAAUAUUUAGUAUGUAUUAAAAAUUGAUAUUCGAUAUGAUAUUUGAUAUUUAUAAAAAAUAAUAUUGAAUAUUAUAUUGAAGUAUAUAGUUACAUAUAAAAUUCAUAUAUAUGUAAUUAUAUACAAUACUUGCAAAUAUAUACAACAGUUUUUUAGAUGUUGAAAUUUUGAUUGUUUUAUCUUAAUUUAAAUAUUCUUUUUGAGUGACUGAUAAAAAAAAAAGUGUUGUUUAUACUUUAUUUUGAAUAUUUUUAUAUGUAUAAGGUAUUGAUAUGACAUAAUUGAGUUUUGAGACGUGUCUUGAAAAGCCAAAGUCAUAAUUCUUUAUUAUACGGAUUUAUGUAAGUUGAAGUUGAUCAAUCUAGGCAUAAAACAUAAACAUGACCCUUAACUUGGCUUCAACGGACAACUAUGCCCUCCAACUUUGAGUAUGCACAAGUAGGCACUUAAACAUGUAUAAAAUUAAAUAAAUAGACACACGUGUCCUACAUGGCAUACGCCACGUAGGAUACAAAUUUUUCAUGUAGGGUGCCAUGUAGGACGGAUGUGUCUAUUUGUUCAAUUUUAUACAAGUUUAAGUGCCUACUUGUGCACAUUCAAAGUUAAAGAACAUAAUUGUCGGUUGAUGCCAAGUUAAGGAUUAUGUUUAUGUAUUAUGCCAUCAAUCUAUGAUAACCAAUUUACCGUACUGCAUAAUAUCGAACCAUACCAAAUUAAUUUGAUAUGAUAAAAAUAUGAUAUUUUUAAAAAUCGUAAACCAAAUUAUUGAAUCGAACUUUUCAAUACCAUAUCCAGCUCACCCAUAAUUAGCACACAAGCCUAAUAGAAGGUAAAGAGGCUCUAUCACUCUCUUAUUUCUUUUCAAAAUAUAUGGAAUUUUCUAUGACUAUAUUAAAGCUAACACUACACCAUUUUAGGCUUUUAGCCACACCAAUAAAGUGUAGCCUAAACUAGCAAAAAGUGUGGCCUUUGAUAAAAGGCUACACUUUUGAACUUUAAGCAACGCUUUUUAGGGGGUGCCCAAAAGAAGCGUAACCUUUGACAUUAGGCAACACUUUUUAAAUGUCGCCAUCACAGCUACACUUAUAAAGCGUGGCCAAAGAGGUAUAAAGGGACGCUUUGUAGUGAUUCAUUAGCAACACCUUUUUUUAAUUAUACUACACUUAAAAGCGUUGCCUUUGCGUUGUUAUUAGUCACACUUAAAAAGUGUUGACUUUUAUAUCUCAUCUAGAACAACACUUAUAAAGUGUAACUUUUCUUAUGUACAAGAUAACAUUGGAAGUCCUACAGCAACACUUUUGAAGUGUGGCAAUGUUGUGUAGAAUUUUGUAGCCACAAUUUUUUUUAUUUUUAAUGCAAAUAAUUUUUAUUUGCAUAUAUUCAAUAGUCACAUAAAUAAAUAUGCAAGUGACCUUAAGCACAAAAUUAACUAAUAAUUAAAUCGAAGCUAUAUAUUUCAAAUAAACUUCGAGAAACAUGUCUUGUACAACCAAUACUUAGAAAUUGAUUGCUUAAAGAUCUCUACUAUCAAUAAAUUCCACAAAACCAAAUGCAUUCAAACAUAUAUGACAAUAGUACAAAAACUCUUCGUCGUUCACUACAAUAGAUCGAGUUUACUUCUGGCCACAAUUCAAAUUCAAUUACCGGCAUUUUCCUGCACAUUUAAAAUAAAAUUAUAAGUUAGUGAAAUAAAUCAUGUAUUUAAUAUGCUUAAAUUCACAGUAAGCCAAACCAAUUCAUAACAAUAAAGUUGUGGAAGUGCAUAUAAGGUUGACAGAUAACUAUAGACAACACUGCUUGGAAUUCUAUUGAUGAAGUAAAAAGAUGCUAAAACACACUGAUACUAGAACUUUACAUCAUAUACUGAUUUAUAGCAACUGUUUAGCAUAGUCAUUAGUACUCUUGGAUCCAUUCUGAUGACUCCUAGUAGAUAGUGGUACAUUAGUGUUCAAGCCAUAUGUGAAGGUUCCUUUAGCUUGUAUUUCAGUACCUACAUACGUUUGCACAUCUAUCAUAUCAUAGGCAGCCCAGAUGCCUCACUAUAAGUUUUUUUCUUAGACUUGAAGUCAGGUGGAUAGCUUAUUAGUUUGAAACAUUGUCCUUCCUAUGUCCUGUGAAUCUGCAGAACUCACACACCAACUCUUUCCAGAAUUUCCAACUCUUUCGAAGUUAUAGAAAAGCUCAACUCUUUUCAAAAUUUCCAGCACUGUAUUAUAGCGCAAUAGUUGAAUUUCCAGAAUUUCCAGCACUGUAUAAUAUUGCAGCAGCAAAGUUUCCAGAAUUUCCAGAACUGUAUAAUAUUGCAGCAGCUUAGUUUCCAAAAUUUCAGGAUUUUCCAGAAUAUCCAGCACUGUAUAAUAUUGCAGCAGUUGAGUUUUCAGAAUUUCCAGCACUAUAUAAUAGCAGAUUGCAACAGCUGAGUUUCUAGAAUUUUCAGAAUUUCUAGAAUUUCCAGAACUUCCAGUACUGUAUAUACUGUAAACUGAUUCUAUAACCUGCACAUACACAAUAUCCUAGCAGGGAAGCUAAAAACACAACUAAACUGAUUCUAUAACCUGUACAACCAUUCAGAUGAGCAGUGGCAGCCUGUGCAAACAGUAUAAGUUGUUGUCAUGGAUUCUCUAAUUCUUGGUGAUCAGUUGUACUCUGGAGGGUAAGUCCAAAACUAACUUUUUAAAAGUAACUUAUAUAGUCUGUAAAGUUCAGUUCCUUUAAUGCGACAAAAUAGUUUAUGAGUAUACUAUCUCACUUGUUUACAAUAUGUAGUCCAUACAAACUGUACUAAAAUAAAUUCAAACAAAAUCAGGACCUAAACAAACUAUUUUUGAUCAAAUUGAACAUUAGAACUUGAAGCCUCAUAGCAUCAAAUAGCAUUUGAGAACAAUCAUACGGAGAUAUACAAUGAGUAUGUUAAAAGAUGCUCAAAAGAGAACUGAGCCACACUUGGAGAAAAAGGUAAACAACCAGAUUUUACAGCCCCAUUUCGAGAACCCAGAACCCAGAACAGGCACACUAAAAAUCAUGACUGAGUGAACUACAGAGCAUCUUGAACAAACUAAAAGGAGACUCAAUUAACUUUAAGAAAACAGAUUAAAUCAUAUCAACUAAGAAGUUGAUACAAACUAGCAGCUCACUAUUUCAGUCACAACAACGCAUAACACUCUUGGUAUGAAACAAACAAGGAAAAAUUAAAGGUAAAGAGUUGCACCUCCCUCGGAGUGAUGAACUAGGGACAACGACGAAACCAGGAGCGACUUCAAACUGCAGAGCUCACUGUUCUGCCUACAACGCAUAACACUCUUGGUCUGAAACAAACAAGGAAAAAUUAAAGGUAAAGAGUUGCACCUCUCUCGGAGUGAUGAACUAGGGACAACGACGAAACCAGGAGCGACUUCAAACUGCAGAGCUCAUUGUUCUGCCUCUAAUGCCUAUUGCCUGAUAAUAAAGGAAACUAAGGCCAAAAAUUAGAUUUUUGUUUCANNNNNNNNNNNNNNNNNNNNNNNNNNNNNNNNNNNNNNNNNNNNNNNNNNNNNNNNNNNNNNNNNNNNNNNNNNNNNNNNNNNNNNNNNNNNNNNNNNNNCAUUUACUAGACAAGGAAUCUGGCAGAAUAUUAUGAAUCUGACCACUGAAGAACCAGGGUCACCAAAACCAGUAUUGACAGUCUCAAGUUUGGCAAGUAACAUAUCAUCGCGAGUGUUGCCACUGCAGCAGUUCAGAAAGGAACACAUUGCACACUUUCUUAUGGUCAGAUAUACAACACUUUAGGCAGCAUAUACCAUUAUCAAUCUAUACCUUGCAGUAAGUGGACUACUGUAGUAGUCCCUUAUAAUAUCAUUCCCCUUGUCAUCCCGAGCACCAGCACACUGAGAAAUUCAAAUAGGAAGGACAAGUAGAAAUAACAUUAAGAGAAAUGGGAAACAAAAAUAUGUCAAGACACUAGGAAGAAUAAUCAAAUAACUCUGUUGAUGUCCCAAGACUAGAAACAAAGAAAGAAUCUUCAUCCUCCAUGGCACUCUUACAAUACAAUCUUUUCAAAAAGAUUAUUCAAACUAGUACUCAUGCCUAGCUUCUGCUCAUUAUAGCAUAAAUGACUCAAAUUAUUCGAUCUUGUUAUCAUUGCAUUGCUAAGCACAAGUGACAUUUAUAUUUAUUUUUUAGAUACUCUCUUGUCAUAAAUCUCCAAUGAAAAAUCACUAAUUAUCUGUGUAGUACUUGUAGUUGUGGAACCAGUAGAACUCAAACUUGGAGCCAUGGCUGAAGCAACAGUGCUUAACUUGUCUCCAUUCCCAUUACUUUUUGACACACAAGAGUUGCUCAAAUGAACCUCAUUAGCAGCAGCAAUAACAGAGAUUUUUCGGUUAUCAAAAAAGGAUUCUCUAUUUUUUGUUAAGGAACAAAAACAGAAAUUAGAUGCAUAACCACCUUUGAAAUAACAAUAACAAGUGUUGAAGCCAGCUCAGGGCCAACAAUCACUGAAACUACAUUACUAUUUCCAUUCCCAAACAAUCACUGAAACUACAUUACUCGUACGCAAACCCGCUAUGUCAUAUGCUUGAAUUGGAAUGUAUCUGAAUUCUUUCAACAACAUUGUUGAUAGGUUCCAAAGUUAUCAACUUAAAAGUUUUGGCAACUAAUUAAGUGUAAAAGUAAACCUAAGGUAAGAUACAACUAUCUGAUGUUUUCAGUCAUUUCAGAAGCAACCAUAUUUCUAAAUCAAUAAAUCAGUUCUUAGAUAAUAUUCACUCAUUAAUGAUAUUUACUCUUUACAUCCAUGGCAGCAGCACACCAAGUUAUUAACAGAAAAGCUUCACUUUGCCACCAAAAAGUGUAAAUUUCUACAACUUAUAUCUGUGUAAUAUGAAAAACACAUUCCAAAAAUGGGAAAUGUACCGUCUAUUGAUUUGAAUUACUUUUGCAGAUAGUCGAAGUUAAUUUCUUUGAGAAUGACUUGUAUAGAACUGAGUAUAAGAGCUGUGGCAAUACAUGAGACAAUUAAACCACCACCAAUAACAACCUUCUCUAUUUUCAAUGGUAUGUACAGGUACUAGCCGUAACUGAUUGUGCAAUUUCCCUUCAUAUUAUCUUCUGCAAUGUUCAGUCCAAAUAGGUCAAAAUAGCCAAGCCUAUGGUUUGAGAUUAUUUUUAUCAUGCAGGCAUACAGAAAAAAGAGAACUCUUAGAAGGUCGUUUCAGUCCAAGCUGAAUUAGAAGCUCCAGAUGGCUCAUUUUGUUUCUUAUACGAUAUAAGCAGGCUCAUAGACCAAGGAAUUUAGUGAACUAAACUUACCUUUGCUCUUUGCAGUGAUGACUGGAUGACAAAGUUACCAUAAGGGUCCAUCAGUAGCAUUGAACCACUUGGAUUACUGAGCAGCUCGGUGAUAAUUCUCGUUGAGUGCUUUUUUCUUGAAUCGAGGAUAAUUUUCUCAACAACAUUACUAGCGUACUUAUUGCAAGAGAGAGUCAAAAAGUUUCCUUGAAGCCUAUCAAUUAAAAUAUAUGUAACUCUUGGUAACUUCAGUCCCAAAAGAUGUUGCACCAUAUAGUUGCUACAUCAAAUAAAACGUAAAAGCAAUUAGACCUAUAUAGCAACUGCACUUUCACACAUUACAUAAGCACAAGAAAAAGAAAACAAGUCAUACCCAUAUUGAUCUUCUGAUAGUUGCACUGCAUUUGUCAAUAUCUCAGCAAUUAUGCAAUCUCUGAGUUCUCCACCAGCAGAUUCUACACAUGANNNNNNNNNNNNNNNNNNNNNNNNNNNNNNNNNNNNNNNNNNNNNNNNNNNNNNNNNNNNNNNNNNNNNNNNNNNNNNNNNNNNNNNNNNNNNNNNNNNNNNNNNNNNNNNNNNNNNNNNNNNNNNNNNNNNNNNNNNNNNNNNNNNNNNNNNNNNNNNNNNNNNNNNNNNNNNNNNNNNNNNNNNNNNNNNNNNNNNNNNNNNNNNNNNNNNNNNNNNNNNNNNNNNNNNNNNNNNNNNNNNNNNNNNNNNNNNNNNNNNNNNNNNNNNNNNNNNNNNNNNNNNNNNNNNNNNNNNNNNNNNNNNNNNNNNNNNNNNNNNNNNNNNNNNNNNNNNNNNNNNNNNNNNNNNNNNNNNNNNNNNNNNNNNNNNNNNNNNNNNNNNNNNNNNNNNNNNNNNNNNNNNNNNNNNNNNNNNNNNNNNNNNNNNNNNNNNNNNNNNNNNNNNNNNNNNNNNNNNNNNNNNNNNNNNNNNNNNNNNNNNNNNNNNNNNNNNNNNNNNNNNNNNNNNNNNNNNNNNNNNNNNNNNNNNNNNNNNNNNNNNNNNNNNNNNNNNNNNNNNNNNNNNNNNNNNNNNNNNNNNNNNNNNNNNNNNNNNNNNNNNNNNNNNNNNNNNNNNNNNNNNNNNNNNNNNNNNNNNNNNNNNNNNNNNNNNNNNNNNNNNNNNNNNNNNNNNNNNNNNNNNNNNNNNNNNNNNNNNNNNNNNNNNNNNNNNNNNNNNNNNNNNNNNNNNNNNNNNNNNNNNNNNNNNNNNNNNNNNNNNNNNNNNNNNNNNNNNNNNNNNNNNNNNNNNNNNNNNNNNNNNNNNNNNNNNNNNNNNNNNNNNNNNNNNNNNNNNNNNNNNNNNNNNNNNNNNNNNNNNNNNNNNNNNNNNNNNNNNNNNNNNNNNNNNNNNNNNNNNNNNNNNNNNNNNNNNNNNNNNNNNNNNNNNNNNNNNNNNNNNNNNNNNNNNNNNNNNNNNNNNNNNNNNNNNNNNNNNNNNNNNNNNNNNNNNNNNNNNNNNNNNNNNNNNNNNNNNNNNNNNNNNNNNNNNNNNNNNNNNNNNNNNNNNNNNNNNNNNNNNNNNNNNNNNNNNNNNNNNNNNNNNNNNNNNNNNNNNNNNNNNNNNNNNNNNNNNNNNNNNNNNNNNNNNNNNNNNNNNNNNNNNNNNNNNNNNNNNNNNNNNNNNNNNNNNNNNNNNNNNNNNNNNNNNNNNNNNNNNNNNNNNNNNNNNNNNNNNNNNNNNNNNNNNNNNNNNNNNNNNNNNNNNNNNNNNNNNNNNNNNNNNNNNNNNNNNNNNNNNNNNNNNNNNNNNNNNNNNNNNNNNNNNNNNNNNNNNNNNNNNNNNNNNNNNNNNNNNNNNNNNNNNNNNNNNNNNNNNNNNNNNNNNNNNNNNNNNNNNNNNNNNNNNNNNNNNNNNNNNNNNNNNNNNNNNNNNNNNNNNNNNNNNNNNNNNNNNNNNNNNNNNNNNNNNNNNNNNNNNNNNNNNNNNNNNNNNNNNNNNNNNNNNNNNNNNNNNNNNNNNNNNNNNNNNNNNNNNNNNNNNNNNNNNNNNNNNNNNNNNNNNNNNNNNNNNNNNNNNNNNNNNNNNNNNNNNNNNNNNNNNNNNNNNNNNNNNNNNNNNNNNNNNNNNNNNNNNNNNNNNNNNNNNNNNNNNNNNNNNNNNNNNNNNNNNNNNNNNNNNNNNNNNNNNNNNNNNNNNNNNNNNNNNNNNNNNNNNNNNNNNNNNNNNNNNNNNNNNNNNNNNNNNNNNNNNNNNNNNNNNNNNNNNNNNNNNNNNNNNNNNNNNNNNNNNNNNNNNNNNNNNNNNNNNNNNNNNNNNNNNNNNNNNNNNNNNNNNNNNNNNNNNNNNNNNNNNNNNNNGUGUAUGGUUGUAUGCAUUAGCUAAAACCAGGAAACAAUUUGUACAAAAAUCAAGGGAAAAGUGUAGUCUUUAGUAAAAGGCAUACCUGAGACAAACAAAACAAGCAUUAACAUCCAAAAAAAUUGAGAAAGUACUGAACGGAAUGAAACAAUUCCAUAAACUUAUAAUGUUCGGAACUAAACACAUGGUCUAAAGCUGCUGCCAUGUUUUUUUCAUUUAUUUCCCUUAUUUGAACUCUUAAAUACAUGUGAUGGAAGGAGCUUUUUUAAGGUGAGAAUAGUCCAUUACUCCGGAAGAAGUAACCUACAAAUGUAUAUUAUUUAAUAAAAUUUACUUGCUUGAAAACAUUGGAAAAGAGAACAACAAACAGGAUACAUAAUUGACUCAGAUUUGUGUAUACCUAAUUUUCUGGUUUUAGAGGACAUACAAACUACAGAACCAAACAAAUAAAGAAAACAAUACCAAAGAUAUAUUCAUCCACAUUCAGCAAACAAAUAGGAUACAUAACUGACCAUGCAACUCUCCCAGUCCGAACAAAAAAAAAGGUAUGUUACUUGGAAAAAACAGUAGCUACUCUUGUUGUACAUUCGAAAUUUGUACAAUUGUAUAUCAGACUCUAUAAAAAUAGUGGCAAUUAUUUAUGGAGAAACCUUGAGCCACAUUCAUGAUGAAACUACUGAAAUGCCAAAAUUAUUACUCCCUCUGUCUCACUCGAUGGAUUGAGUAACAUCAGCCUUUAUUAACAUCUGUAAUAAAAUGACCACGUCAAAUGUAAUAGAUUAUGUUUCCAGCACACUCCAAAGAUAGUCACAACAUAUCCUUUGCUUGGAUAGGACUAAAAGGAUGGUGUUGAACUAUACAGCUCUUCAUAAUUCCAAAUAAUAUUAAAGGUAUUUGCUGAUUUAAAUACGUAAAAUGCACAAUGAAUGGGGUUUUUCCCUUAAAGCCACAUUCAAGAUGGGGGGUUAGGAAUGACCCCUACCUCGUAUGUUAAUAACAAAUAACAAAACACAUGUAUAAGAGGUAUGCAAUGCCUACCCUAUUCAAGAGUUUCAAGAUUGGACAUGUCCAAUCUUUGCUAAAAUUAACUCUUGAUUAAGCCAUAGCUUUCUAAAAAUGUAAAUGCAUAAAGUAUGUUAAAGGAUUAUAAAUGGAGUUAUCCCUCCUUUAAAUUUCCAGAAAGUAGAAACAGAGGACUAAAGAAUAAUCACACCACAUCUUCAAAUCUAUUUUCAGGCAUCUUUUAUUCUUAACUCUAAAAUUAGGAUAUCUUCAUUUUACCUCUUACUUCAUUUGGUAGCUCUCAAAAGUCAUGAAUAAACAUAAUCAAGUUGCUCAUUUUCUAAAAAAUGGUGUGAAUCUACAAAGGCUUGUAUAAAUUUGGAUAAAACUCUUCUAUAUAUUUAACCUACAUAACUAAAGAAUGACUAAGUUUUGAAGAAUCGACCUCUAUGCAAUGAUCUCACUUCAUGGCAUGUUCAAUUACUAACAACUAUACUUUAAGAGGAAGAUAGACAGCCUAAUUUUAGAUCAGUGUUGGUCAGUAAAUAUGUUGCUCAUUGGAAAGCAAUUGAGAAAUGAUCAAAAUAUGAUAGUGAACAAUAUAAUACACUUUAACAACUGCACAGCCUGACACCAACUAUAUUCAAAGUCUAACUUUAUAAAUUUUUAUUUUUCAGGAUAUAUACAACUAUAUGUUCUCAUAAUUAAGUUCAUACCUAAGUGAUAGAAUUCCUAUGAAAAGAAGUAAGAAAAUUAAUAAAUAAAAUUCAGUUACAUCAAUUCUUCAAGCAUAUUAUCAAACAACUUGACUACAUUAGAUGCACAUAAAAAAUCUCCUUAUACCGUCUAAAUGUUGGCUUCUUCUUAAUAAAUUUUGCAAGCAAACUUUUACUAUAUUUGUGCAGGUUCUUCAUUAUUUUCUGCCAGCUAUUUUUUUUUCUAUGGUGGAUUAUUUUUAGGUAGUAAACAAUGAUAUUACACAAGAGAAAUAUACAAGAUUGGAAACUGAAAUUAUAUCAAAAGUCAUUUUUAAUGUUAUGCCAUAUUGCUUACAAUUAUUGUCUAGUAGUAAUAAAUAAUGUAACUCUUGAGUUGUUUAAUGAUGGACAUAUCAGUUACAUAAAAUAGAACCUACACCGAUGCACAUGAAUUCUUACAAGAAGCGUGUGAUCAAACAAUCAAAUUCAUCAAAAUUAACAAACAAUUACGAUUAAGAAGCCAAAAAGGUAAACAAAGUAAAAAUUCAAACACUUCAUAAGUGGAAUGAAAACAAAGUACAAAUUUAAGAACUUCAGAAGUAGGAAGAAGAUGUCAAAGGCAGUAAUCAACACCAGGACCAACAAAUAGAGCAAAAGAACGAAGAACAUAAUUCAAAAUUACUGACGUUCAUGCAAAAUUCUAGCAAAAACUGAUAUACAAUAGGGCGAGAAUGAUAUCGAGAAGAAGACUAAAAUAUAUGAGCUGAGUGGCUGAAUCUAUAUCCAUCGCCACAACAUGUAGAGUUUCCGAUUCCUCCUGAUCUGGAAUUCUUCGAAUUGUUUCUCUUGUCUCUCCCAUAAAGGUGAAGAACGAUUAAGGAAAUCACAAUCAAACAUCGAUAAAGUUACAAUGGAGAAUUUUUGGGGUGGAAAUGAGAAGGAGAGAAAGUAGGGUUUAACUUUUGAACAUUGAUAUAGGCAAAGAGCAACUAGGAGAGCAUUUUAAUUUGGGGAAAAACGUUUUUAGAGUUAUUUUUAUAUUGAGGUUAUUUUUUGCCAAUUAGAAAUUGGAGGGAGAAUUAAAUAUAUUGGGGGGAAUACAUUAUUUUGGUGAAAAAUAUAGGAAAAUUAUAAGGCCACACUUGUAAAGUGUUGUUUUAAGAAUUAUAAAAAUAUCACACUAUAAAAGCGUAGUCAUAUGUAUAAAUAUGCAUUGCUAAUUAUAUCAUGAUGUGGAAACACUUAUAAUGUGUAGCCUAUACUACUAAAGAGAACAUUUUAUAAGUGUUGCCAAAAUUACCGUAGCCAAAUGGUAAAAAUUAAGGAUAUGCUUUAAAAGUGUAGCCAAAAAUGUUUUAGGCGACACUUUACAAGUGUUGUCCAGAUUUAGUGUUGUCUUAGGCCUAAAAUGGUGUAGUGUAAGUAAUCUAUAAUGAGCUAAUUUACAUAUUAAUAUUUUAAUUACAGUUAAAAGCAAAGUUAAUGGACGUGUGAUACAUCUUUGAGACGUAAGGAACAGUACCACUAAUAAUUAAUACUACCUCUUCUCAAUUUAUGUAACACAUUUCGUUUUCUGAGAAUCAAACAGAUUAAGCUUGAUUGGAAAUUUGCACAUGAAAUCUUCAAUUUUUUUAAAAAUUAAAUUUAUAUAUUUGUAAACUACGUAAAAAUUACUAUAAGUCACAAUAAUUGACAAUCUAAAAUAUUUAAAAGAUAUAUAAAAUAUUUACGAUAAAAAAUAAACUUAUUUGACUUUCGAAAUUCAAAAUUUGUACGACCUGUAUAUUAAUAUUAUACACGUGUGACCAAAUGUCCAAAUCUUCAAUCCGUACACGCACAUGUGAUUAAACAUGGUGAUGAGAGGCCAUCCCAUCUGUUUGCCUUACUUAUAAUUUUCACGGUAAAGACAUAAAUUUCCCCUUAAACUUAUAUUGAAAAGUCAUUUACACGUUAAAUUAUCAUGAUGACAUAUUACACAUUUUUACUAUUCAAAAGCGAAUUUAAUACCACCCUGAGACGUGUAACACCACUCUCACAGGGUGUAGUGUAAUACACUCGCCGCCAUAUCAGCGCUACUUCAACGCCAUGUCAGAAAUUAUGAUUUUUUAUAAAUUUUUUUGUUUUCUUUUUGUUAGCAAUAUUUUAUACUAAUUAAUUAUUAAAAUUCUCUAAUAAGUAUGCUUUCUUCAUCAAAAUUUCCAACCCACUCCAUCUCUUAUCUCACGGAAAAAAUUAUAUUCGGCUACCUUAUUCACUAUUGAUUCUUUGUUCUUCACCACCGCCAUAUCACCUUCAAUUCUUCUUAUUCUUCACCAUCCACCACUAAAUAUCACCAUGACCAUUUCUAAUAUAAUUUUUUUCUUCUUCAUCAUCUUCAAUUUCCAUUUAUUUUUUUUCAAAAUCAUUACCCAGCGCCACUCAGGGUCGUCUCAACAAGUUUGAGGGCCUAAAGCUAAACUUCAUAAAGAGGCCCAAUUUUUUCAGUUGACAACUAUAAAUUGAAUAAUUAUAACAUACUCAAUGUAAUCCUAUAAAUGAGGUAUGGAGAGGCAGGAUAUAUCCAAACAUUAUGAAGUAAGAAUGCAAAUAAUGUAAAUUUUCAAUGAAAAUUAUAUAAUAUAAAGUUAGAAUAAUAAAACAUGACUCAAAUUUUUUUAAAAUAUGAUGAUAUUAAAAUAGUGUCGCGAUGAAUUUGAUAAGUUGAUAUAAUAAUAUCAAAAUAUUAUUGGUUUGGUUUUAGUGCUUGAAAUUCGAAUUAGACACCAAAAACAACUUUGAUUUUUUUAUAAACACACAACACAACAAUAUAUUUUACAUAAUUUUGAAGGUUUGAACAUUUGAGAGACUUUAGAAUAUUCAAUAAUGAAAGAAUAAAAAAUAGUGAAAAGAGAAUAAAGAAAAGUAAGUAUAAGAACACAAUAUUGUUGGUUCAUGAUAAUCCUCAUAAUAUAACUAGAAAGGAUAGUCACAUGUGAAACUAGAAAGGAUACUACAAUUAACUAGCCACAUAAUAAUCUAGAAAAAAUACUACAAUCAACUAAACAAUAUUCAAUUUCUCAAUUAUAUUUUCUAUACAAAAAAAUAUUUUCAAAUUUAUCAAUACAUGAAUUUUUUUUAAAACUAUAUAUAUAUAUUUUACCCUUAUUUAGAAGUGCCACUUAAAAAGGACCAACACUGCAGCUGCUCAUUGUACUAAAGGCAGUACUAGGUGUACAUUUAAAAGGACUAACAUUGCAUCUGUUGGUUGUACUAAAGGCAGUGAUAAUUGUACCUUUGGAAAUUGUACAUUUACACCACCAACACCCUCUCUCAUUUUCUUUUCACUUUCUCUAGAACUUUCUCAAAUUUGUAACCCUAAUUUCUCUCCCUCUCAACUCUUCUUCCGACUUCUCAACUCUUCUACGGUGAAUCGACCUGUUCUUUACUGAUUUCGGUUUCUGUACGUCUCUCUGAAGGUUUCCUCAAGUUUUCUCUUUUUCUACGACGACUUGCGGAGGUUCUUCGUCAUGGUUUAAGGUAAAUUUCAAUGGCGAUUCUAUCUCUUCUUUAUUCUUUGUUGUUUGUCUAAACCCUUUAAAUCUCUCUCUCAAGCUUGCCUGAAGAUUUCUCUUUCUUUCCCACGACCUGCGCAGGUAUUUCUUCAUGAUUUAAGCGACCCUAAUUUCUCUCCCUCUCAACUCUUCAAUGGCGAAUCCAGUUGUUGUUCUAUGUUUUUGGUUUGUCUACAGCCUUUAAAUUGCUCUCUGAAGAUUUGCUCAAGAUUUCUGUUUCUGUCCCACGAGCUACGCAGGUACUUCUUCAUCCUUUGAGCGAAAUUUCAAUGUCCAAUCCAUCUGUUCUUUCCUGCUUUCUGUUUCUCUACAGCAUUUAAAUCUCUCUCUCAAGAUUUGCUGAACAUUUCUGUUUAGUUCCCUUUUUUGGUAUUCUGUAUAUACUGUUUUGGUCAGACAAGGAAUGUUCUGCAAUAUAUACUGAAGUUCUUGAAUCUAUGUGAACUUUAAAGUCAAAGAUAUGUCUAUUUAAGAUGCUUUUGCAUGUUCAUAAGGGAAAACAUCAGUAACGUUGCAAUGUUUAUUGUUUUUCUGCAUUUUCUCUUUUUAUGGGUUGUCAUAGGAAACGGCCCUUUUUGUUGUUAUAUCCAUGGAUAUUCUCUUGAUGAUAGUAACAUCUCUUCUUUACUGUUGUUCUCUUUCUCUACAGCCUUUAAAUUUGUCGCUGAACCUUUCGUCAACAUUUCUGUUUAUUUGCCUUUUUGGGUAUUUCGUAUAUAUUGUUUUCGUCAGACAAAGAAUGUUCUACAACAUAUAGUCAAAUUCUUGAAUGCAUCUGCACUUUAAAGUCAAACAUAUGUCUAUUUCAGAUGUUUUUGCAUAUUCAUAAGGGAAAAAAGGAGUAGAGUUGCAAUCUUUAUUGUUUGGCUGUAUAUUCUCUUUUCCUGUGUUGUCAUAGGACACACGACUUUUUCUUCUUAUAUCUAUCGCUGUUCUGUUGAUGAUAGUAACAUUCCCUUUUAUAUAAUAAGUUGUUAAUUCUUUUAUUUUUUACUACAUUUGGAACCUAAUUGGUUAGCAAUAUAUGUUAUUUGCCAUGUGCCAAUUUAUGUUUCUCCAAUUCCUACUUUGUCUUUUGUUUUGCUCUUUUGGUCAUUCCUAAUUUGUCUCCUCUACACCAUAUUAAGCCAUAUUAUACUGUAUGUAUGUGCUUCAAACUUCUGCUGAAUAAUUCCAUCUAUUUGUUUGUUACACUAUCUUUACCACCGAAUCGCCACAACGCCUCCAAAACACAAGAUUCGCUUUUACACUUUCACUUCUUCAAAACUUUGGCUUCCAACGCUUUCUCCAUUUCUGUUUUCCCUGCUGUUUACGCUUUCCAUUCUCCAAACAAAUCCCUUGCCAAAAGGAAAUACAAUAUUUCUUCUAAUAUAUUUAAUAAUAAUUCCUUUCAUUUGUUCUGUAUGUACUUCUCACUUAUUCCAUACUGAAUUUGCUCAAAUUCAAUAUUCCUAAAUAAUCAUUUCCCCCCGCAGGAGAUUGCGUCUAACUUGGCGAUAGAAAUAGCUGUCAUACAGACCAUCCCACUAGGUCUGCAGCAGCCUCUUCAUUAUCACCACCUUAGAACGAUUCCUUCAGCUGCUCACCCAAACCUUAUAUACAUACUACGCAGUCCACAAGAUUCAGAGACAUCCGACACGCGCUCACACGUACCUUAUAUGUUCUGUUUCAUCAUCUAUACGAUUUCCUACACCCACCAGCUAUUCUCCCACAGUUUUCCUCAACUGUUUACUCCCGCAGCAAAGUGUCUGAUAAAGGUCCUACCAUUAACUUUGGGUAGUUUAUUUGUGCUCCUAAGUUACUACUUCUCUUAUUUAUUUAUUCACCAUUGUUUGCGCGUCACUUUUCCUUCAAGUCUUUUAAUUAUCUUUGUGAGCUUUCUUCAAUUUUCUGGUUUCCAACAUACUCCAAAUUCUGAGUGCCUAUUAAAAUUCAUUAGCUGCUACAAAUAUCCCAUGUAAUAUAAUUAAUGAUUCAUUUCAGAUGUUCCAUAUGCCGCUCUAACUUCUUUCAUAUUCAAUUUCCCGCAUUUGAAAAAACUAGCUACUAAAUCUAUUUUACAGGAGAUUGCCUGCAACUGAAAGGUAGAAAUACCGUUGAUACAGAACAGCCUGCAGGGUCUUUAAUUGCCCACGCAAAGCAUCUAUACAUGCUAGCCCGUCCACAACAUUCACAUACAUCCUACAUGUGGUCGCAGGUAGCUUAUAUGUUGUCUCCUAUGCUCUAAUUUACUGCUUAACGUUUCAAGUUUGUCCAAUUUGCUGUUUUUCCUGGAUAGUCCAAACUGUUUCUAAGCUUAUCCUUUCUUUAUUUCUGGAUAGUUGUUUCUACGGUUAUCCUUACUUUAUUUCGGUUGCUGAUCAUUUCUUUUCCUCCUAUUAAAUAUCCUUCCGAUAUACGAGCCAUUUACAUGUUAUGCUUGCGUAAGAAGGAAACAAUUAGCUAACAAAAAAUGCCACUAUAAUACAGCAUACACCUUCCAUGCUCUCUGUUGGACAACAAACAAUUAUUACAUUCACCAAUAGAUGUGACCUCUAUUUCUAAGCAGUUUACGUACAUUCCAAAUUUAUCGUUCGUCCUGUACUUUAGCUUUCUUUAGCUAUGUCAAUUCAAAUUGCCUUUUUUCCCAUUGACUUUCUUCGCACUCUAUUCUUCAGUAACAACACAAAACCUCUACAAACUUGUUAGGUUUUCUGCUAUCGUCAAAUGCAAGCUAAAAACAUUUAAUUUUUCCCCCCACACAUUUUCUACACCGUAUUCUUUGGUGCGUCAAUGAUACAAAAGGUGCAUCAUCUCUCUUUGCUGCCUGUCCAUUGUUUCUGUCUUUUUCCUCCACACACACAUUUGUAAGCUAUAUCGUUUCUUUCGAUCGCUUUCAAAUGUCACUUGCUGCUGCUACUUACACUUUUUCUUUGUACCUCAUUUUAUCUGUUCAUUCACCUCUGCUGAAGUGUGCUAACAGAUUUGCACAUGAAUGUACUUUCACUGUGACAGCACUGUUCUUUCUGCUUUUAUUUGUUGCUUAUUCUCUGUUUCUUUACACAAGAUACAACGUUUAUUAUCCUUCUGCAGUUUAUACGUGAACUGACCCAAUAGUAACAGCUAUAAUUCUGAAGUAGUGUACUUGUUCCACAUUCUUUCGCAAACUUCACAUUAAGGUUUGACCAAAAUUUCUCUUCUCCAACUUUCUCUCUUCAGAAUGGACACUGACUGAUUUUCGUGCAAUAUUACUAUCAGCUGUUGUUUUCGGCUUGGAUAAAACCUUUACAUAAAACCUAAUAUACAACUACAGUUACCUACCAAAUACACUGCCAAUGUUUCGUUCAGCAACUUCAAACUUAUUACCUCAAACCUAACAUUGGUUUUCUUUAGCAAAAAACUAUCUACCCAUCAGAGUCAAUGUUUGCUCUUUUAUUUCUUCUCUUUCUGCUUCAGAUUUCUAUUUUCUUCUAUUCUACAUAGAGGCUCACCUCUUGCAUGGCAGUCGUUAGAUGGAUAAGCUACCUUUGCCUUUUCUCUUCUCCCAACAUUGCUGUCACUCUUAGUAGUCUGUUAGCAUCUACAUGUCUGCGAAAUUUUACCAAGCAAUUAUUUCAGGUAACAAACAUUUAACACUUAUAGGAUGGAUUGGUAACAACAUAAACCGGUAAAAUAUCAACUGUUUCUUCUUUCUGGAAUAUAUUGCAGAAAAAUUCAGUAAUUUUAAAGAGAAAUAACAGACAAACAAAGCAACUGAUACCUAAAGGGCCAACAGCGUAAAGAAUAACAUAGGAAAGGUGAACAACAGGAAUAGAGCUCUCACUUUGCCUACAGAGUACCCGUCGUCCCCUCAUUUCCGUUCUCAUCUGACACAUUUAUUCCUCUCCACUGUCAUCUAACAAAAAAAUUAAAACUCAUUUGAUUUCCCCUUAAAAUAUGUACAUGCUGAUAGUUUACGCAGGAAGAUGAAGGUAGAACAAAUUGUUCAUGGCUAAAAAUGCCAAAAAACAUUUCACACAUGAUAUAUACAAUCAUAAUUCAAGUAGGAAAAAAUUUAAAAAAACAAAUGAAUGUAGCCAAAAAUUUAAUAGUUCAAAUUUUACACCUAAAUGUCAUGAUUGACAAAUAACUAAUUGCACCUACAUGGUUACGAGAUCAACAUAGAAGCAAAAGUUAAUAGUAGGAUACAUGCUAUGUGCUCUUUCAUGCUUCUCUAAUUUAUGUUCAUUGUUUCUCCUACCUUCCUUUGGCAACAGUUGGUUAAUGCUUUCCUAUUACAUCAAAAGGUCACUUCUACACUAUGUUGCUCGGACUCUUCAAAAAUGCCAAUGGAUGCAUGUCGGAUUCGCCAAAAGUAGUGUAUUUUUGGAGAAUCCGAGACGGGUGCGGCAUCAAAAGUGAAGAGUCCGCGCAACUAAGCUUCUACAGCUAGAAAGUCAAUUUUACUCUACGUUCCUGCUUUCCUUUGAUGCUUGUUCCCUUUUCCUUUAACGUGCUGGAAAAAACUACUAUUUUCAUGCAACUUCAUUGUGUAUGCUCAGUUUUAUGCGUCAUUAUUCUUGUACUUUUGUUUUGCACAUGUGCAAUGCCUGUAUUACUUCGAAAGGCAUUCUCUAAUGUAAUUUCGUACUUAUGUGACCUAAUUUUACAUUUAUGUCCUGCCUUUCUGUUUUCCUGUCCACAACUUAUCUUACUUGAUGAAGUUUUGUUUUCUCAUAUCGUUCUAAUUGUUUAUAGUUAAUGUAUGUUCCUUGCAGCUACACAAAAGAUAUACAACACACCUUUGGCUUUUCAGGCAUUAUUUGUUUGCAGUACUGCAAAACAAGGUAAUGCAAUACUUCCCUAGCUCAUUUCUCUAUUACAGUGUUUACUUUACAACAUGAAUUUUGCAUAAUGUUUCUUCUCAAAUGGUUAUUUUCAUCCUUCCUUACAACAAAUUAGUACACCUACAUAUGAAGAAUUUCAUCUAAUUUGCUCUUGCAUGUUUCCGAAUAAAACUAAACACACACAUUACUUUCCAUUCUUUAUCCGCAUAGUACUGCUACGGAGAUUUGUGUGAUAAUAGUUUCCCUUACUUUCAUUCCUCCAGUAGUUUUUGUUCCACUACUUUGACUUGCUUUGAGGUUAACAACGAAGCUGACCAAACAAUCGAAUAUGCAAAUGAAGUGUUUGGUCAAAGUGUUGAUCUUCAGUAUAACUUCUGUACAAGCUGUAGACAUCAUCAUCCUUCACCAGAAGCUUUACUAUUCACUUCUACAACAUCAUCAUCCUUACCUUCCAAAUCUUGUACCAUUUUUUAGAUCACUCAAACAUCCACAACACCAUUUCUAGCAGUUCGUUCCUCCUAAAGUGAUACUUGACUUUCUAGCUCUUUCAACUUUUCCAAAUACAACUUCAGUUUUGCCUCAACUUUAGCUGCUUCAUUUUUUAGCUGCUCAUUUUUCCUCUGCACAUCCUUCAAUCAAUUCUCCAUCGAUUGAAGAAUAUGCAGAAGAAAAAUGAACAGCUAAAAAAUGAAGAAGCUAAAAUUCAAGUAAAACUUAAGAUGUAUUUGCAAAAGUUCACACACUUGGAAAAUACAUUAUCACUUCAGGACAAAACAACUGCUAAAAAUGGUGCUGUGAAUGUCUCACUGAUCCAAAAAAUGGUAAAAGAUUUGAAAAUUCAGGAUGAUGACACUGUACAAGUGAAUAGUAAAGCUUCUGGUGCUAAUGGAGAUUUUCAGGAAAAACAAUUCUCACCACCUGCGCCUCCAUUAGUUCAUUCAGCUGCAAAUGGAAAUGGAAAUGGCUGCGGUAAAUGAACAAAUGAAGGUAUUAUUAUGCUUAUAUUGGUCUUGUUCACCUUAUUUUUACAAUUAUGCACUCAAAUUCUUGAUGGUUUUCAAUUUCAGUUAGGGACUUACAGUUAUUGAGUGAUAAUUUUUGUCCUAUGCUUAAGCUUUACUUAUCUAUGAAUCCAUUUCCAAAUUUUUGCUUGCCUUUCGACCUAAACCUAACUCCUGAGAAUUUAUGUGCAACUGCAAAUUUGGUGGACACUGAUAUAGUAAUUGCGUGCAGUGAACAUAAUUGGUGUUCCUUUGUUUUAAAUUUGGAACUGUAGGAUUAAUAUGGUCACAUGACUAUAGCUGCAGGUAGUCGUAACACAGACUUCAUUUUUACAAAAAUCAAUCUGCUUAAUUGUGCUGAUGUCCAGACAUAGCAUCCCAUACCUUCUGCCAGUGGUUCUGCUCACGUGAAUAGCAAUGUUUCCAACAUACAAAAUUGAAGACACCAGUCACAGCAAGCAGGUACAAAUGAUUUCUCAUGCUUAUUCCUACAUUUCUGUUCUUAUUUCUGCCGUUCAACCCAUAGUUCAACUUGUUUCCCUUUCACAGCUGAGAAUAUCAAUCCUUGUGCUUUUAUGUUCACAAUAUCAAUCCUUCUUCUAUGCAAAUUGACCAACGUAUUUGGGCCUAUAUGUUGCAUUCUCUAUGGAAUUUAUUAUUCUUCAUUUAACAAACUUUAUCAACCAUACUUCAUUGCACAUACACCUUAAUGGAACACCAUAUGGUUUUUACAUUGUAUCACAUAACAUUAAUUGCAAAAUAAACGCAAACUAGCCUUUUCAAUUGCUCUCUCAACCUGUUAAAAUAAUUGUAGCAGCUUCACAUAUUUGCAGAUUAGAAUUCUGAAUUUCUUAGUCAUCAAAACGCAGCAAAUGAACUUAACUACAGAGAGGAGUACAAGGUACAUUUUAGCUCCAUGUGGUUUAGUCACAACCUUAGUUCUCAUGCUAACUUCCUAGGUAUAGAAUAACUGCACUUCCUUUUGUCUCAGUUCAUUCUCCAUCCAUACAACUGCAAUUUCACAGGCAAAGCACAUAUCAUCGUGCAGUCCUGCUGAUCUGCUCUCCUGCAGAAGAAGGGCACAGAAAGAUCCAGCAUUUAUAUGAAAAUGUAAUGAAUUAACUAAUGGACUACAUAGUCACACCAGCGCAGAUAAAGUGUCAACACUAACCUAGGUAACUCUGUCAGCUCCAUGAAAACUGCAUAUAUUUUUUCUCUUAAGCAUAUUCUCUCUAAAUUUACAGUUCAAGUUUGGUAAAAAUUUAAUCUUCUAUAUUUGCUUGCAACUUCAUUUAUUUACUUUUCAAAUAUAUAUAAAGCUUUAGCAUUUUUGUUCUGCUUAGUAUACAUAAUUCUACCCAUAAUCAUAUAAGCUCAAAUCAUUCACAUUUAAAGUCCCUAAUAAUGUCAAAUAUACAUUUAUGAAUUUCCCUUACUAUAGGAGAAAGCUACAACAACUAUCAUUCAAGUUUUGCAUGUAGUAAAGGAAAAGGCAAAGACACCGAAAAUAUUCUUUACUCAAAGGUAUAUAAUAUCUACUCUUCUAUAUUUCAUAUAUGUCAUCAGUUCAAAGACAGAGUUCAUAUAUAUUUUUAAACAACACAGUCAAUUAGAGCAUACAGUGUCCUAUUUUCAUUGCAGCUUUUAACUUGUUCUUCUUCCUAAUUUUCAGAAAACAGACAUAUAUUAUAUAUCCUAAAGCACAUAUUUUCUCUUCCAUUGUAGGUCAAAAGUUUCCAAUUUAGAGCAAAGAUAAAUCUGCUUGCCCAACUUUUUACCAUCAACAUAAUAAUAAUCUAUAGCAACAUCACCAAACUACUGCAACAAUGACGUUGUACGCACUGCUUCAAUCAAAUGGCACCUCAUCGCUAAUAUAGAUGCUGAAGUACCAAUACUGCAGCAGGUUCGACAAUUUUCUAUUUGUUUUCAAAAUCCCUCUCUUGUAGUUCUUAUGAAAUGAAAAUGACUUCUUACUUAUACACAGUACAAUCAAUCACAUAGACAUAUUAUAAAAUCAUUAACUGAAAGCAAUUGCUCUCAUGAGAAAAUUUUGUAGCUUGUUAGGACUAAAUUACCAUUCUUAAUAAGUGAGGGCUUUCUCAGUCCAAUAAAAUCAAUAAAUUCGUUACAACUGUACAUUUAAGGCUACUUUUGUAAAUAGAUAAAAAUUUAAGCCCACUUCUAUUUUGCCUUUUCAAUUUCCGCAUCAUUUAAGCAUUACAACAACUGAAGGUUCUCUUCUGUUCACACCUAUUUGCUACCUCCAUUGCAGCUGCCACCUCUUAUUUCUUUCUUUCUCUACAUAUGUGAAUAUGGAAAACUUCGUUGGAGUUCAUCCAUCUUCCAAACUAACAAAGGUAUGCUGCCUGCCUUUGCUCUGCUCAUUUUACUCUCUUUCCUGCACAAUUACUUGGCUCUCUGUUUGCUCUCUUGUAGUUCUUAUCAAAUCAAAAUGACUUCUAAAUUAUAGACAGUACAAUCAAUGACAUACACAUAUUAUAAAAUCAUCAGCUCAAACCAAUUGUCUGAUGAGAAAAGUGGCUACCUUAUUACAAGUAAAUUGCCUACUAAGUUCAUGUCCUUUUGCAAAAGCACAUCUUACUGUAUAUUUGGUCAUUCUCUUCUACUCUCUAUAUUCAUUUCGGUGGGAACAAUAGGGCUCUUAUCAAAUGUAAUUAUACCUAAAUGGAUUAUAUGAUAUAAACGUCAUGUCCUCUAAGCAAAUCAAUGUAAUCUACUGUAGCUGCUCACUGUACUAAUGCACAAAUGCCAUUCAAUUCUUUCGUUAGUUGCCUUACUUAGUAUUGAUUUGAAGUAUAUAUGUCAUGUCAAACAAGAGGAAAACUCCACUCUAUGUCUUACUGCUUGUAGGAUUUCUACACUGCUCAUGUGCAUAACAAAUGUCUACUGAAUAGGUGAAUGAAACAUAAUUCAACGGGAAAGAACAACUCCUUAAUAUCCAGAAUAAACUACAGUAGUUUACCUGAAACAACGAGACAAUCUCUUUUGUUGACACGUAUUUCCUACCUCCAUUGCAGCUGCCACCUGUUAUUUCUUUCUUCCUCUACAUCUCUGAAUAUGCAAAGCUUCUUUGGACUUCAUCCAUCUUCCAAGCUAUGAAAGGUAUGCUGCCUGCCUUUGCUCUGCUGAUUUUACUCUCUUUGCUGGACAAUUAGUUAAAUCUCUGUUUGCUCUCUUGUAGUUCUUAUCACAUCAACAUUACUUCUGAAUUAUACACAGUGCAAUCAAUGACAUAGACAUAUUAGAAAAUCAUCAACUCAAACCAAUUGUUGUCAUGACAAAAGUCUCUUGCUUACUAGGAGUAAACUGCCUACUAAGUUUCUGUCCUUCAGCAUAAGCAAAUCUUACUGUAUAUUUGAUCAUUCUCUUGUACUUUCUAUAUUCAUUUCACUCGGAACAAAACAGCUCUUAUCAAAUGUAAUUAUACUUAAAUGGAUUAUAUGAUAUAAAUGUAAUGCCCUCUGAGGAAAUCAGUGUAAUAUACUGUAACCAUUCCCUGUACUAAUGCGUAAAUCUUACUCAAUUUUUUCUUUAGUUGCCUUAGUUAAUAUUGAUUUGCAGUAUGUAUGUCAUGUCAAACUACAGGAAAACUCCACUCCAUAUCUUACUUCUUCUGGGAUUUCUACAGUGCCAAUGUCCAUAACAAAUAUGUAGUAAAUAGGUGAAUGAAAGAUAAUUCAACAAGAAAGAACAACUUCUUAAUUUGCAGAAUAAACUACAGUACUUUAGCUGAAACAACAACACAAUUUUCUUUGUCCAGCUCCUCCACACUAAAGAGACAGUUAACUUUGGGAACUCCAAAGAUCCAACAAUUUUACCCAAUGUAUUAACCACAUAUAUGGUUGUCCCUUAGACACAACUGCUAUUUACGCCUUUACCACAUAUGUGCCUUUUAAUAUAUGCUCUACUCUUGGUAAGCUGUCAUUUGACCGUUUAGUUAAUUAGAGUGGUCUCAAGAAUGCAAUCUUCAUUUGAAUCUUCGCUUUUGCAUAGUUUUAACUAAUACACUGCGUACUUGCUAGACGUUAUGUAGGAUUUGCGAACUCACACUUCUUCAACUGCUGAAAUAAAGAACAAACUUCUCACUGACAAACGUAAGUUUCUGCAUUUUCCUACUCUAUAGUUUUUUGCCUCUAUUACUAUUCUGCUAUAUUCUUCACUCUACAUUGUACUCUCUUAUUAUGUGUUCACUGACCCUAAUCGAACAGCAAGAUAUUACCUUCAAUAAAAGAACUUCGCUAAAUACUUGCCCUGAGCUGUCUACCACUAAACAGAAAAUAAAUACAAUCUUGCCUCGACAAACAGCUACUACCAAAAAGGAUUCCAAAAAAAGGAGAAACCCAAUUUCUUAGCAUAAAAUAACAACUGAAAAAAGGGUAGCUCUUCUGCCACUACGCUAGCCAGAAUACUCUGCUCAAGCACAUGCUCUUCCUCAAAAUGUUGCUGCUCUCCAUUUUACAAAAGCUAACUGUGGCCGUCAAAGUAUAACUCCACCACAAUCUACUGUGUUCCUUCACAAUAAACCAUCACCUCUUACGUCAACAUCUCAAAGGCAGAGCUUCUUCCACUUAGUAUACUUAAUUAUUCCCAUAAUCAUAUAGGUUCAAAUCAUUCACAUUUAGAGUCCCUAAUAAUGUCAAAUACACGGUAAUGAAUUCGCCUUGCUAUGGGAGAAACCUAGAAGGAAUAUGAUUGAAGUUUUGCAUGUAGUAAACGAAAAGCCAAAGGCAGUACUAAUCUCUGUGUGCUUCUGAACUUAUCACGCGUUCAAAUGUAUUUUACUUUUAACAAAAUGCAUUAGCUACCUUUACGCUAACAAUUCGUACAUUCAAUUUUACAAUAGAAACAAAAUGGUAAUGCUAUACUAUUUUUGCUACCUUACUAACCAGCUGACACAUGAUUUCAUGUCUCUGUGUACGUAUAUAUAUAGAUAGAGAUAUAUAUAUACAUGUAUAUAUAGAUAUAUAUAUAUAAAGAGACAGAGACAGAGAGACAGUGUAUAUAUAUACACAUAUAUAUAGAUACAUAGAUAGAUAGAUAACUUUUUUAUUUCCUCAUUUAGAAAGAACAAUUAAACUACAACUGUCUUCUUCAAAAUUCAUGCAGUUUUGGCUGCCAAUGAAAUAAUGCCAAAAAACAGACAUACUUAUUACAUUAGGUAGUCAAAGGUAAUGAUUUUGUCUCUUUCUGCACUGCCAAAUGUACUGAUUUACUGUCUUUUCUGGCACAAUUUCAUUGGCACCCAAAACCCCAUGAAUUUCUAGGAAGACACAUGUUUUUUUUUGGUCCUUUAUAAUUUCUCUAUAUUUUAAAAAAAUAAAUAUAUUAACAGAUUAGAUAAGAGUAAGGUAAUAUAUAUAUAUUAUAUAUAUAUAGAGAUAUAGGUAUAUAUAUAUUAUAUAUAUAUAUAUAAUAUAUAUAUAUCCCAUUUUCAAGUUUUCUUCCACAUUCUGCUUGUCACCAAAACAGAAAAUCAAAAUACAUCCAAAUUACAGUUAUUAGGUGCACAGCAAUUACUAUGGUCUUACAUUUGUACUGGUAUUACAAAUCUAAAAGCCAAAGUAAUAGCCUCCCUUCUGAAUUUCCUGUUUGGUGCCUCAUAUUUAAUGCUUUCAAUAUUAUUCAAUCUUUCAUACAUGCACCAUGGAUCCAGCAGUAUGCUUUUACCUUCAGGCCCAACGUCAUCAAAAUAUCUGCAGCAUAGUUCUUUUCUUUUGUCUUUUUUCUUACUUUCUGUUUAUUGACAUUUUAGAUAGCAACAUGACAAUUGACUUUUUCUAUGAAAAAUAGGAAACAUUUUUGGUAAUACUAAAUGGUGCCUUUGGAUAUAAAUCUGACAGCUUAGGUCUCUUGUACAAAAUGUAUCUUUCAUGAUACUAAGUCAUACAUAAGCCAUCACAUACUACCUUCAGUAAAUUUUUUCAUAUUGUUUUUCUCAAAUACAUAGUGAUUUGACUCAGGUUUCACAGAUAAUUGUUGUUGUUUUAAUAGUCUGCAACAUUUACUGUCCCUGUAACAGAUCUUGUGUAAAAAAAAGAUUUGUCCAACAGUACUUUGCACAUUAAUAAUGCAUGCACACUGAUUUUGUGUCUUCAGUGAACUCCACUAAAGAGCCCUAAUAGAUUUACACAUGACUCUACUUCUACUACAACAACACUGUUCUUUUCCUUUUCAUUUGUUCUUUUUUUUUCUUUUCCCCCCGCACACAAACUUUAUUAUGUCCUAACUUGCUUUUACAACAGUUUGUUACUGCUUUGUGCCUACAUCAACAGCUCAUUUGUGCAGCUACAAUGUGCAUUUUACUCCACAAUGCUCCUUGCAUUUGAUUCCUUCUUUUCUCUUCUCUAAACAAAUUAAACAAUCUUGCAUAUCCCUAAUUUAAUCAGCCCUGUUCAUAAAACCCCAACAAAGCAAGUAGUUUGACUGAAUAUUCAUGUUAUCCUGCAGCUACUACUAUUUGGUUAACUAUCUUUCCUACAAACAUGGUACUAAGAGUGAACAUCAACCAAAUAGAACCAGCAACACGAGAUUGGAUUUGCAAAGUUCAAAUUGUCGAAAUAGCCCGGCCACGAGAAAGCCUUGACAAGAAAUGCACAUUCCAAAAUUUAAUUUUGGAAGAUGAAGAGGUUAGGUCAUUAUUGUAUUUUACAUUAUCACUACUGCUGUUUUCCUCUUAACUUAAUUAAUCUCAACUUUCUAUAACUCUUAUUUUCAGGAAUGCCAAAUUAAGGUCGUUAUGUACAGUGACGAAAUCCAGCAGUAUGCAGCUACGCUUAAACUCCUCAAUACCUACCUCAUCUCUACUGCAAAAGUGAAAGUCUCACCAUCCUCAUACGGCAAGCCAAUACAUAAAUUUCAGUGGACUCUUGACAAGGAGACAGUAAUUGAACAAAUCCAAGCAUCUCAUGAAGUUGAAAAACCACUUCCACCGCCAACCAGGCUCAAUAUCACCAACUUUGACCGCAUUCCCCAUCUGAUGGUUGAUUCUGCUGCUGAAAUAGGUACAUCCAUCGUACUACCUGUUACCAGACUGAAAUAUACAUUUGUACUGCUGCAGAACACUUGCGAAAUUUCAUUAUGUACUAUAUACGCAGAUAUACUAGCAAUCGUUCUUCGUUGUGGUCCUCAAAAAACUGCAGGUCGCAGUCAUCAUAGGUGUAGAGAAAUUACCGUUUGUGACGAUCAGUAAGUAUGACAUUUCACAUUGUACUUACCCAUUCUCUGCAAAUAUUUUUCAUGACUAACGACAUUGUGCAUUUCUCUACUGACAUCAUCAAUUAUCAUAGUACUUACUCUUCUGUCCUUCUGUUCUGACACUCUCAGGAGAAAUCAGUUUCUCUUCACUCUAUGGGAGGACUUUGGAGAAAUAGAAGGACAUCAAAUUUUCUCUAAAAUGGCAACAGAGGCAGAUCUGCUUGUAAUCCUCGGAAGGAGUAUAGGAAUCUCUACUUAUCAAGGUACAUCUCUGUUCAACUUCUUACCAACAUAAUUUUAUAUCAUAAUAACAACACAAUAUACAACCUAUCUGUUAUACAGGGUUGUCACUGCAAACUAGGUACAAUUCCACAGUACGUGUAAAUCCUGAUUACCCACAGGCAAUGGCACUCAUCAACUGGUACUCACAUUUCACAUUUAUUCUACAGCUUUACUUUGCAUCUAAAUAACCUUCUAACCAUAUUAUUUGGUCUAACAAUAGGGCAAAAGAAAACAAAACAAUGUUGUUAGGUUCUCCAUCAGAGAAAACCUCGACAAGCUCAUCUAUCACUCCCAUGAUAGUCACUCCUGCUGGCCAACAAUUUAUCUCUAUUGCAGAAAUCUCAUCAGCACCUUCUGUAAGUCAUAACUCAACCUGCUCAAUUACCAGUAUCCAUAUUCAUUAUCUGCUUCUCUAGCUUUGCCUAAAUGAGGAAAACUUGCCACAGAUGGGAGUGUUCUAUGUUGAGGCAGAGAUGGCCAUAUUAGAUGAGUUCCAAGACUUUUGUGUGCUUGAAUGCUCAGGAUGCAAACAGAAGAAACGUACAAAGGAUAGAAAGGAUUUUGAAUGUCCAAAAUGCAAUCGAAAAACAUCAUUAGUACCUCGGUACUAUACUUUUCUGGCUUCUACAUUACACUUUCUACAAAAUAUACCGUAGAUUAUACACAUAUUUCUAACUUCCCUUCAUUUCAGUUGUACCUUCCAAAUUGAUCUUAUUGACAAUACUGCUACAACUACAGCAUCUAUCUCUGCUGAAUUAGGAGAAAAAUUACUGUCCAUGACAGCAAAAGACAUAUUUGACAUAACUUGCACUAAGGUUAUCUCUCAUUCCCACUACCAACUUGUACAUUUCAAUGCCUAAUCCAUCUCUUCUUUACUCUUUUCUGUUUCUCUACAGCCUUUACAUCUGUCUCUGAAAGUUUGCUGAAGAUUUCUGUUUCUACCCCUUUUUGGGUAUUGUUGAAUGCAUGUGCACUUUAAAGUCAAAUAUAUUCCUAUUCAAGAUUUUAACACAUAUUCAUAAGGGAAAAUAGGAGUAACAUUGCAAUCUUUAUUGUUUUUUCUGUAUUUUCUCUUUCUAUGGGUUGUCAUAGGAAAACAAGCUUCCUCUUGUUAUAUCCAUGGAUGUUCUCUUCGUGAUAGUAACAUUUGUUCUUUACUGUUGUGGGUUUCUCUACAGCCUUUAAAUCUGUCUCUGAAGCUUUGCUGCAAAUUUCUGCUUAUAUCCCUUUUUGGGUAUUCUGUAUACACUAUUUUGAUCACAGAACAAAUGCUCUACAACAUAGACUGAAAUUCUUGAAUGCAUCUGCACUUUAAAGUCAGAGAUAUGUCUAUUUCACAUAUUUCGGCAUACUCAUAACAGAAAAACUGAGUAAAGUUGCAAUCUUUAUUGUUUUGCUCUAUAUUUUCUUUUUAUGGGUUCUCAUAGGAAAUAGGCAUUUUUCUUCUUAUAUCCAUAGAUGUUCUGUUUACUCUACACUGUCUGUUCUAACUUCUUACAUUUACAGCGGCAAUCAUUGUCUCUUACUCAUGUCCAUGACAUGCUGUCAAACAAAGUAUUCGAAAUUCAGCUACGGAAGUCAUCUUGGGGCAGCUCAAAUACCACGAAUGCAACUUUGUCCAUUCUUUCCUACAUGGAAAAACAACAUACUCCACAAAGCACUUCUGAUAGGACUCCUAAAAAGAUAAAGCCUUUGGAAAUAAGUGAGGUAGAAGUCAUGGCAACAACUGCUACAGCUGGUCCUUCAAAUGCACUGGGAAAAAUUGAACCACCCACACCAACCAAAAAGGUGUAACAGGUCAGUCUACAUCUCACUUUCACACUACACUAUAGCUCAGAAUGAUUAUGAAUUCGACAUAUUUACAUUUACUGCAACAAUUGCUGCUAAAGGUCUCUUCUUUUAUCUGUAGUUUACUUUCUUUUAUACACCUAUCCACGUAAUUCCUGUAAAACAUUCUAAGUGUCCUACUUAUAUUAUACUGCUGCUUUGGCAAUUGCUCUAAUCUACUUUCAAAUUUCUCAAAAAAAAAUUUCCCCCUCUUCUCUUUCUAUUUGCUGCCUAUAUUAAAAUUGCUUUGCUAUCUAUUGCCAUAUUUGCACUUUCUAACAUACUUUAAAAUGUCUAAUUACAGGAACUCCCUCACACCAUUUUGUCGCUUUUGCUUAUGGUAGGGACAAUAUAAUGACUGACUCUCCCUACGCUCUGAUUUUUUGCAUCACCAGGAUUAGCUAUGGACAGACAAGCUGCAGUGUCCUCUAAAUAUCAUAGACAAUGGCAUGCUAAUCUUAUAUACCAAAACUGCAACAUGUAAUAUAUUAUUUUGGUUAUAUUACAUUAGUUAGUAUGUGCAAAGCGUUCAACUCCACAUCAUAAUUAUGUCUAUUGUACAUAUUUUAAAUAUUUCUAAUAGUACAUAAUAUAAUAGAUCAUAUUAUCACCUUGAUUCCUUAAUAUUACAACAUUUUUACCACCAUAAUAUUUUUACUAUUGGGCCCGUGCUUUGCACGGGCCUCCCUACCCUAGUAUAUAUAUAUACACACACACACACACACACAUCUUUGGGAGAAAAUGGGGGGCCCAAGCGACUGCUUUAGUGGCCUUAUAGUCGAGACGGCCCUGGCGCCACUACAGUCUACACUCAUAAAGUUGUCAUCUUCAUCAAAUUCAAAAAUUGAUUAAUCUUCUUCACCACUUUCAAUUUCCUCUUUUUUUUCACCCAUUACCUAGAACGACCAUACCCAUAAAGCUGCAAUUACAACAAAAUUCAAAAAUUGAUUAACAACCAAAAUUUCUUCAAUAAAGUUAAUUUUUUUUAGAAAAGAUAGAAACAAUCAACCAAAAUCACCUAAACAUAACUUAAGGAUUUAUUUAUUUAGGUUUAUGCGAAAUUCUUUUUAGAUUCUUCCUUUAGUCAAAAUUAUCAUAAAAUACAAUUAUUCACUAACAAAUCUAUGAGAAUUAACCUAAUUGCUAAAUUAAAAAGAAAAGUUGCGCUUUGAGAUUGUGAUGUAUAAAGAAUGAAGAAGAAAAGAUGUGAAAAAGAAGAAUAGGUGUGAAGGAGAAGAGGUUUGAAGAAGAGGUGCGGGUGUAGGGGUGGGGUGGAGGAGGGUGGGGUGGGUGGUUAAAAAUUGAUUCUAAUUAUUAUUUUUAUUUUUAUUUCUAACUGACGUGUUUAGUUUUUAUUUUUAUUUUAUUUCUUUGCCACAUCAGUUUUAAGGGGUAAAUAAAUUUACUUUUGAAUAAUAAAGGUGUGUAAUAUGUCAUCAUAAUAGUUUAAGCGUGUAAGUGACUUUUUGAUACAAGUUCAAGGUGGAGUUUAUGUCUUUUCUCUAAUUUUAAAGAACUUGUUUUAACUUUUUUUCCUUUCAAUGCUCGUACUGGAGCCGGAUUAAUUAACUUGAAAUCAAACUAUAAGAUUUCAUUUUUUGUAAAAAAGAUAAUUUUAUUUCUAAGAGUUCGUUUAGAUUGACUUAAAGGUUGGUCAACAUACUUUUAAGUCAGUUUUUGACUUAUGAAAGUAUUUGACAAAUGUAAAAUUAACUUAAAAUAAAUUAAAAAAUAACUCAAAAUAAGUUAGGAAGUAUUUGACAAGUGUAAAAAUAACUUAAAGUACGUUUAAAAUGACUUAAAAUAAGUUAAAAAUCAAAAGUAGGUCUUCCCUACUUUUUUAUUUUUUGAUUUAAAAGUUAUUUAAAUUUGACUUUUUAUUUUUGACUUAAAAACUAUUUCUUUUAAAGUCAAUCCAAACAGAUUCUAAGAUUCAAACUCAAAAUCUUUUAUUAAAAAUGAAUGCGCAAAACAACAUAUUCUCCUUACGAUGACUAAGUAACAUUUGAUAUGUUACACGUCAUUUUUAUUGAGAAAAUUGAACAAAUGACAUAUUUAAAUAUUCCUAUUACUAGUCUUAACAGGAUUCUUAAGUUUUCAAGUUUCAACUCGUAAAAUUUGAUUGACUAGUGAUAAUCAACCAAUUGAAGCAAAUACCUAUUAAAGUGAAGUAUAUUUUAUGUGUUUUACAGUGAUAACAUAUUGUACUUUAAAUAACUUUUCGCAUGGAUCAAUAAUUCCACUCUAAAUUAAUUAGUCUCUUCUAAAUGUUAUAAGUAUUAAAUUAGUUUUUAUUUUGUAAGUGGUAUCCUUUCAAUGGGUAAUGCUAAAUGGCCAGAAAUAUUUGGCCAGAAUUUGGCCAGAAAUGUAAAAAGACUAGAAUAUCCUUAUUUUAAUUUUUGCAUUUAUUUCCUCAAUACUUUUCCCUCCAAACAAAACUAACUUUUUUAUAUUUCCCAAACUCCUUGAACUACUAAAACACAAACUAUUUGGCUGCCAAUGAAAGUGAAAAAAUGUUUUUGUGUGCGUAUAGUUUAUCAGAUUUAUUUUUAAAAAUAAAUAUUGUUUAGUUAAUAAAAAAAUUGUACGCUUUAGUUAAAAAAAUAUUUUUGUAAUUUUGUUUUUAUACAUUAAUAUGUUUUUCAUUAUAUACCAAAUUAUGUUCAACAUAUACAUAACAUACAUUCUUUCCUCUACCCCUCCCCUGAACUCAAUUAUGAUAAUAAGGUGUCAACGCAUACCUUUGAAAAAUUAUUUUUUCGCUUAAUAUAAACUUCUUUAUUGAAAAGAGACAAUUAAAUUUCUCAUUAAUAAUAACUACAAAUGACUAUCUUAUCUACUUAAGAUUAUACUUAAUUAUUUUGUAAUAUAAAAUUAAUAAAAUAUAGUAAUUAAGCAUAGAUUAAAAGAGUUUAAUUAAUUUUUUCUUUAAAUAUAAUCAACUAAAUAGAUUAGUCUAUAUAAUGGAUGUUUUUCAAGAGAAAAAAUAAUAUCAUUUUGGAAAUUAGAUAUUUCUAAAAAAUAACUGAUGAAAAGACAUUUAUAACUAUGUCAUGAAUAACACAUUAGAUUUUUAUAUCAUAAUCAUUCCAAACAAGAUUUAAGAUAUAUAGAAAUUGGUGAAAUUAUUUUACUAAUUUUAACCAUGAAUACAAAAUACAGUUACUCCAAUAAUAUUAAUUAAUUGAGGACGUUUCAAAAUAAAUAAAUAAAAGAUCACUCAAUACUUACUUAUCAAUUAUAAUACUUUAAAAUAGAUGUAUUUUAUGUAUAUAAUAAAUUACAAUAUGUUUAAUGUGUAUAAAUAAAGUAUAACAUAACUAGGAUAUAUAUUUUUUAAAAAUUAUUUUCAUUUAAUGUAGAAUUUUAAUAUUUCAAUAACAAUAAUCAAAACUCAAAAUACUUAAGAAUUGAUAGACAUCGGCACAUUAUAGAAAUACAUAAAAUUUUUAUUAAUAUGUAGUUUAAUUUUUUAAAAUAUGUAGUCUAAUUUUUAAAUAUGUAGUUGUAAAUACGUAGUUUAAUUUUUUAAAACAUAAUAACCAAAUAUAAAAUUUAAAUAUGCAGUUUAAUUUUCAAAACAUAAUAAUUAACAAAUAUGCAAUAUUACAACAUUAAUGUGUAACUAUCUUGGGUUAUUGUUAAAUAGGAUCUACACUUAUGAACCAUAUGGUUUUUAGUAUUUCUUUAAUGUGUUGAUGUCUACCAAUUCUAAAGUAUUUUAAGUUUUGAUUGUUAUUAUUGAACUAUUUUACAUUAUAUAUAAAAAAUUAUUUAAAAUGUAAUUUAAAUANNNNNNNNNNNNNNNNNNNNNNNNNNNNNNNNNNNNNNNNNNNNNNNNNNNNNNNNNNNNNNNNNNNNNNNNNNNNNNNNNNNNNNNNNNNNNNNNNNNNNNNNNNNNNNNNNNNNNNNNNNNNNNNNNNNNNNNNNNNNNNNNNNNNNNNNNNNNNNNNNNNNNNNNNNNNNNNNNNNNNNNNNNNNNNNNNNNNNNNNNNNNNNNNNNNNNNNNNNNNNNNNNNNNNNNNNNNNNNNNNNNNNNNNNNNNNNNNNNNNNNNAUUCUGAGUAUAAUUGGAUAAAAUAUAUUUUAUCAUUAAUUUUUUUCUAGAAAAUCAAUGCGUAACAACAACUCCUUUAAAUAAAUAAGAGUAAUUGUUUAGCCAACUCGGUCAAUUUUAGAUUUUAUUUUUGAGUGUUGUUGAUAUAAAUUUUUAAUAUUUAAAUUUAGAUAUAAAUUAUCUUUUCACGAUUAGAAAUUAUAAAUUUAAAUAGAUAAUCUACACUUUACUCUCUUUUAUACUUUUCAAAAAUUUUCUUAUCAUUAAGAAAUAAGAAAUGGAAAAUAAAUAAACAAAAAAAAAGAAGUAAAACGGGGAAAAUUUUGAAAUUGAAAAAGAGAUAUAUUUUUUUAUUUUUUUACUACUACUGUAAUGUGUAUAUAUAUAUAUAUUAUUUUUAUUUUUUUAGAUCUUGAAAAUUUCAAGUGAGAAGAGUGGAUGAGAGUUAUGUUUUCUUUGGUGAAUUUUUUGGUUCCUUUCCCAUGUUUAACUAUGAAAUCAUCAAUAAUUAAUCUCAUUAAUCUUUUUCAAUGUAUUGGAAACAUAAUUGAAGAAUAUAUUUAAUAUUUAAGUUAAAUGGUAAAAAUGUCCAAAAAUAAACUAGUUUAUAGUGUGAACAUGUCUUUUUUCAUUCUGGCCAAAUUAUGGCCAAAUUUUUAUGGCCAAAAGGAUUUUUCCUCCUUUCAAUAGGGUUACUAAGAGUUUGAUAUCAUUUUAAAUUAAACCUUGAUCGAAAUCGUGCCCUACCUUUCACCUUUCAUUCAUUACGAGGAAAGACUAAAAAGAAGAAGAAAACUUUCGAUGGACACAUAACCCUUCAUGAAUUAACAUUUGAACAUAGGGAAAUUUGCCUCUUGAGACUGGGUUUUCUAAGCGAAAUUCCUCUUUGCCUUUGCCUUGUCUCGACAAAAGUACUUAUCAUUCUACCACAAUUCUGUGUGAUUGUUUAGUCUUUUAAUCUCCAUGAAGUUACUGUUUUAUUUAAAAUUAUAUAUACAAGGAAAAAUGACUUAGUUUUCAAAAAAUCGAUUAAACUUAUGAUUUAAGAGAAAUCGAAUUUCAAAAAGGACAGAGUCGCCACUUGAUUUUUUAAUAAAAAUCAAGAAAAAACCUAAGGUUUCCAAAAGAUUUAAACAGAUAAAAUCAAUUGAAAAAGGGUUCGAGUUCAAAUGUACAUUCCCGAGAAAGGUCUUAGGCCCUCGAAAUGCCCACUAACUUGCGGUUGACCGACGAUUUGACUAAUUAAUAUUUUAAUCUAAGUAAAGAAUUCAUUUUAUUUUAACUAAUUAUUGAAAUUUUAACUAAGUAAAAUAACUCAUUUUCUUUUAAAUAAUUUUGAAUUUUUGACUAAAUAAAAGGACUUAUUUUUUUUAUUUAUUUAUUACUAUUAUUAUUUUUAUCAUUUUAUUUAUCUCAAGGGGAAAUGGACUAAAGGAGAAUUUUUUAAAGGGGAAAUAACUUGAGUUUUGACAUGACUAAUAUUAAAAUAGAGCUAAAUAGUAAAUAAAAUACAUAAGAAAAAAAACAAAUAUUUAACUUUGAAUAUAAAGAGAGACGGCUGUCUUCGGGGAAUUAAUUAAGUUAAACCAAAGAUCAAAUAAAUGUGUUAGUUAAAUACAAUAAAACAAUAAGAGCAGGGAAAGGAAUAUCCAAAUUUGGGCCUCUGGCCACUUUUUGCACCACCUGUCCUGUACGCCUGCAUUUUUUGCACAUUCCAGCCUGCAAUUUCAAUUUAUCAACCUGUAUAUCAUUGUUCUUUUGGGCCUUUUCGAAAUCUGAAAUUCGAUUUCCAACCCCUUUUUAUUUUCGUUUCCUGUUGGCUGACUCAAUAGAAGAUAGAAUUGGGCCUCUAGGGCCCAAUCAACGAAAUGCAAGAUCAAAGAGUGGAGACUCGGGAAGAGCCGGUUCAUACAUGGAAAAGAAUGAAACGAGAUAAAGAUUAAUAAUAGAGCAUACUUUAAAUCUAUAUAAUGCAACCAAGACACAUAAAAAUAGAAAUAAGGCAAAAAUACAUGUGCUUAGUUUACUAUACCAUGGUUUUAUAAGAAUGACAAAGGAAUACACACCAUUCUUAAGUAAUCUUCACUUAGAUUUAAUCUAACCUCACAUGACAAGAUAACACUAAAUGAAUGUGAUAAAUAAAUAAAAUAAAUUUACAUAUAAAAAAGAGGGGAGGGGGACAGUGAUCACAUGGAAAAAAACGGCAUGCACAAUUGGGAUUAGGAUCAUUUAAACUUUGAUCAUAAAAUAGCAAAAUAACAUAUAGUUACCAAAUAUCUAAGGAUAAAUGGGAUCUUAAGGCUUAAUUACUAGAACUAGACUUUAACGAAACAAGCCGUAACAAAUUGAGUCGAGUUCUAUACUGUUGAAUCAUUAUUCUCAGUAAUUAAAAUUGAAGUGAAACAAAACCUCACAACAGUAAGCAUAUUUAAGCUAAUUAAUCUAGAAAUAAGCAUGAACAAGUGAUUGAAAAUAAAAUCAUGUCAAAACAACACUCACACUAAAUACAAAGGAUGAAUUUUAACUCUUUAAGUUUAAGAGAAGCAAGGGAUAAAUUAGGUGACAAAUAUGAAAAUUAUAUAAACCUAUGAAACCAUGGCUAUUUAACCACACAGCCUACCGAGGACGUCACAAGUAACAAGAAAGCUAGCAAAAGAUACCAGAUAUUUAGGAAGUCUAACGCUUAAUCAACAAGAAGAAAAAAGAAUCGGAAAACCGAAGAGAACAAACCAAUGGUUCUUUACAGAGGUUUAUCACCAAUCACACACUGAUUUCCACAUCCUAAUCACAUAAAGAGGCCAAAGCAAACAUAUAUAUUGAAAUUACACUUUUCUUGUAAAACCAGUGGUCAAAGAUGUGUAGCAACUAACAUAUAAACAAGCAAGGCACUAAGCUAAAGAUCGGGGCCAAACAAGAAAUAGCCUGAAAGCACAAGAGAAAAACACUUCAAACUAAGUAAUACUUGAAACGAGCGUAAACAACGACUACUUCACUAGGCGAUGAGAUUCUACAUAGCACGAAACAAAAUCUAGAACGCAAAGAGAAGCUGUAACAAAAGGAGAAAAAAACAAAAGCAUUACCUUCUUAGGAGCAGCGGAACUGAGACGACGAGUUGAAAAGCUUUCCACCACCACAAUCAAAGAGCUUUCGAGAAGCUUUUUGAUCGAACAAGAUAGGAACCGGAGUUCGAAUCAGUUAUCUUCUCUACUUUGAAGUGUGUUUCGUAUGUAUUUUUAUAUAUUUUCCUUUAAGCUAUUUCUCUGUAUCAGUGGAAGCCCCCCCCAAAAAAAACCCUCUAAAACAGUAAAAGAGAUGGAUAUUUAUAAGAGGAAAAAUUGGAAUUCAAAAGGGGGGAAACCGGAUUCCAUUUCGAAUUUCAAAUUCGAAUUACUCUCAAAGGAUAAGGUCGAAC
rnacentral:lncRNA from 1 species